CUUCCUUCCUUCCUUCCUUCCUUUUUGAGAGGGAGCCUCACUCUCUCACUCCGUUGCCCAGGCUGAAGUGCAGUGGCACAAUCUCAGCUCUCUGCAACCUCCACCUCCCGGGUUCAAGCAAUUCUCCUGCCUCGAUCUUCCGAGUAGCUGAGAUUGCAGGUGCCAGCCACCACACCCAUCUAACUUUUGUAUUUUAGUAAAGACAGCGUUUCACCAUGUUGGCCAGGCUGUUCUCUAACUCCUGACUUCAAGUGAUCUGCUCAACUCAGCUUCCCAAAAUGCUAGGAUUACAUGCAUGAGCUGCCCGACCCAGUCCUUUUUUCAGUUCUAUCACUUUUUUUGCUAUAUGUGUAUGAGAACCUUAUUAUAAGGGUCAUGUACAUUUAAAAUUGUUGUGUCUUAUUAAUAGAUUGAUCUGUCAUUAUGAAUGUCAGUAUUCAUUCCUGACAGUAUUUCUUUUUCUGAGUAUGUUUCUGGAUGUGUCUGCUAUUAUUAACAUAGCCCCUCUAGCUUUUUAAAAUUAGUGUUUGUACUAUAUAUAUAUACAUAUAUGUUACUUUUAGCUGUUUCAUUUCCUUAAAUUUAAAGUGGGUGUCUUAUAGGUAGCAUAUACCUGGGUGUUGCUUUAUUAUCUAAUCUGAUAAUCUCAACUUUUUUAUUAGGAUGUUUAGGCCAUUUACAUUUAAUGUAAUUAUAGACAUGGUUUGAUUUGCUAUACUACCUAUUCAUUUGUAUGUGAGCCAUCUUUUCAUUGUUCUUUUUUCCAUUUUUGACUGUUUUCUGUAGUACUGAGUGCUUUUUUUGUAUUUCAUUAUAUCUCUUGGCUUGUUAGUUAUACAUCUGAAAUUUUUUUUUCUGUUUUAAAUAGGAUUUAUCAUAUACAUCUUUUAACUUAUCACAGAUUACUUUCAAAUAGUAUUUUACUACCUCAUGUGUAAUGCAGAAACCGUACAAUAGUAUAUUUUCAUUUCUCUCUCCUGUUUUUUAUACUAUUGUUUUUAUACAUAUAAUUUUACAUGUUAGAAACCCUAUAAUACAUUGGGUUUGUUGUUGUUUGUUUUUACCUUAUUGCUGUUGGCUAGGGUCAGCAAACAUUUUCUAUAAAGGCAUACCUUGGAGACAUUGUGGGUUUGGUUCCAGACCACCAUAAUAAUACAAAUAUGCAAAAAGUGAAUAUCACAAUAAAGUGAGUCAUGUAAGUUUUUUGGCUUCCCGGUGCUUAUAAAAGUUUUGCUCAUACUACACUGUAGUCUGUUAAGUGUGCAAUAGUGUUAUGUCUACAAAAAAGUUACCUUAAUUUAAAAAUGCUUUAUUGCUAAAAAAUGCUAACAAUUUAAGCAUUCACUGAGUCAUAAUCUUUUUGCUGGUGGAAGGUCUUUUCUUGUUGAUGACUGUGGACUGAUCAGGGGUCGGGUGAUGAAGCUUAGGGUGGCUAUGGCAAUUUCUUAAGUCAACAGUAAAGAUUGCAACAUCAGUUCAUGCUUCCUUUCAUGAAAGAUUUCUCUGUAGUAUGUGAUGCUUUUUGAUAGCAUUUUAUGCACAGUAACUUUGAAAAUUGGAGUCAGUCCUCUCAAACCCUGCUCUGCUUUAACAACAUAAGUUUAUAUAAUAUUCAAGUCCAUUGUUGUCAUUUAAACUAUGUUCACAGUGUUGUCACCAGGAUUAGUUUCCAUCUCAAGAAAUCGGAUGAAAUAUUUGCUCAUCCAUAAGAAAAAAUUCCUCAUCUGUUCAAAUUUUAUCAUGAGAUUGCAGCAACUCAGUCACAUCUUCAGGCUUCACUUCACUUCUAGUUCUCUUCAAUUCUAGUUCUCUUGCUAUUUCUACCACAUCUGCGGUUUCUUCCUCCAUUGAAGGCUUGAACCUCUGAGUCAUCUGUGAGGACUAGAAUCAACUUCUUCCAAAUUCCUGUUAAUAUUUAUAUUUUGACCUCCUAUGAAUCAUGAAUGUUCUUAAUGGCUUCUAGAAUGGCGAAUCCUUUCCAAAAUGUUUUCAGUUUACUUAGUCCAUAUCCAUCCAUCCAGAGGACCCACUUUCAGUGGCAGUUAUAGCCUUAUGAAAUGUAUUUUUUCAGUAAUAAGGCUUGAAAGUUGAAGUUACUCCUUGAUCCAUAAGCUGCAAAAAUGGAUGUUGUGUUAGCACGCAUGAAAGCAACAUUAAUCUUCUGGGGUUUUUUGAGAUGGGUUCUAGCUCUCUUGCCAAGGCUAGAGUGCAGUGCCAUGAUAUCGGCUCACUGCAACCUCUGCCUCCUGGGUUCAAGCAAUUCUCUUGCCUCAGCCUCCUGAGUAGCUGGAACUACAGGCAUAUGCCACCAGGCCUGGCUAAUUUUUUGUAUUUUUUUAGUAGGGUUUUACCAUGUUGCCCAAGCUGGGAGGCAGUCUGCCUGCCUGGCCUCCCAAAGUACUGGGACUUAAAUUAUUUUGUACAUGUACAUCUCUUGGACCAGGUAUAUUGCCAGUGAGCAAUAAUAUUUUGAAGGGAAUUAUUUUUCUUAGCAGUAGGUCUCAACAAUGGGCUUAAAAUAUUUGGUCCACCAUGCUGCAAACAGAUGUGUUGUCAUCUAAACUUGGUAGUUUCAUUUAAAGAGCACAGGCAGAGUAGAUGUAGCAUAAUUCUUAAGGGCCUUAGGAUUUUCAGAAUGGUAAAUGAACAUUGGCAUCAAUUUAAAUCACUAGCUGUAUUAGUGAGUCAGCAACUCUCAACAAGAGAGUCAGCCUAUUUUUCGAAACUUUGAAGCCAGGCAUGAACUUCACCUCUCUGGUUGCAAAAGUCCUAGAUGGCAUCUUCCAAUAUAAAGCUAUUUCAUCUACAUUGAAAAUCAGUUGUUUAAUGUAGCCACCUUCAUCAAUGUUAUUGUCUAGAUCUCUUAGAUAGCUUGCUGCAGCUUCUACAUCAGCAUUUGCGACUUCACCUUGUACUCUUACGUAAUGCAGUAGCUUCUUUCCUCAUACCUCAUAAACCAGCCUGUGCUAGCUUCUGACUUCUUCUGCAUUUUCCUCACUUCUCUCAGCCUUCAUAGAACUGAGGAGAGUUAGGGACUUGCUCUGGGGAUUAGAAUGGCUUAAGGGAAUGUUGUGGCUGAUUUGAUCUUCUAUCCAGACCACUAAAACUUUGUCCAUAUCAGCAAUAAGGCUCUUUUGCUUUCUUAUUAUUUGUGUGUUUACUGGAGUAGCACUUUUAAUUUCUUUUGAGUUGUAUGUCUUUGCAUUCACAACUUGGCUGACUGGUCUAAGAGGCCUAGCUUUCAGACUGUUUGUCGUUUGACAUGCCUCUUUGCUAAGCUUAAUCAUUUCCAGCUUUCUAUUUAAAAAGAGAUGUAGGCCAGGCACAGUGGCUUAUGCCUGUAAUUCCAGCACUUUAAGAGGCCAAGGCAGGAGGAUUGCUUGAACUCAGGAGGUGGAGGUUGUAGAGAUCAUACCACUGCACUACAUCCUGGAUGACAGAGCAAGACCCUGUCUCAAAAUAAAAUGAGAGAUGUGCAAUUCUUCUUUUUGUUUGAGCACAUAGAAGCCAUAGUAUGAUUAUUAAUUGACCUAAUUUCAAUACUGUUGUGUCUCAGAGAAUAGGGGGCCUGAGGAGAGGGAGAGAGGUGGGGGAAUGGCUGGUCAAUAGAGCAGUCAGAACACAUACAACAUUUAUAAAUUGUUUGCUGUCUUAUAUGGAUGUGGUUUGUGAUGCCACAAAACAAUUACAAUAGUUACAGCAAAUAUCACCAAUCACAGAUCACCAUAACAGAUAUAAUCAUCAUGGCAAAGUUUGAAAUAUUUUGAGAAUUAGCAAAAUGUGACACAGAGAUACAAAGUGAGCACAUGCUGUUGGAAAAUUGGUACCGAUAGUCUUGCUUGAUGCCAUAUGCCUUCAAUUUGUAAAAAAAACAAUAUCUGGAAAGUUCAAUAAAGUGAAGUGCAAUAAGUGAGGUAGGCCUGUCAAUAUUUUAGGAUUUCCAGACCAUAUGGUUUCUGUUGCAUCUACUCACCUCUGCCAUUAUAGCAUGAAAGCAGCCAUAGAAAAUACACAUAAAUGAGGCUGGGUGCAGUGGUUCAGGCCUUUAAUCCCCGCAUUUUGGGAGGCUGAGGUGGAUGGAUCACUUGAGGUCAGGAAUUCAAGACCAGCUUGGCCAACAUGGCAAAACCCUGUCUCUACUAAAAAUACAAAAGUUAGCCAGGUAUGGUGAUGCAUGCCUGUAGUCCCAGAUAAUAGGGAGGCUAAUAAGGCAGGAGAAUCGCUUGACCCCAGGAGAGGGAGGUUACAGUGAGCCAAAAUUGUGCCACUGUACUCCAGCCUGGGCCACAGAGCAAAAUUCUGUCUCUAAAAGCAAGGAAAAGAAAAUACACAUUAAUGAUUGUGUGUGGCUGUGUUCCAAUAACUAUAUUUAUUCUCAUACUGUAGCUUGCCAACCCUUGCUUUACACUGUCAGUUACCUUCUAAAGAGAUUAAAAAUCAUAAUAUCUAUUAUGUUUAUUCAUAUCCUGGUACUGUUUCUUCUUUCCUUAUGUAGAAUCAAAUUUCAUUCUGGUCUCAUAUUUCUUCUUUUGAAAUGAUUUCCUUUAAUAUUUUUAUAGAACAGGUAUAAUAGCAAUGAAUUAUGUCAGUUUUGUCUGAAAAAGUGUUUCAUGUUUGAAAUGUACUUUUACAGAUAUGUAAAUCGAUGUUGGUUAACUUCUUUUUUCUUCAGCACUUUAAUGAAAUCACUCAGUUAUCUUCUGGCUUGUAUAGUUUCUCUGGCUGCCUUCAAGAUUUUUUUGUCUUAAUUUUUAGCAGUGUGAUGUGUCUAUAAGUGAUUUUCUUCGUAUUUAUCCUUUUGGGGGCCUCUUAAUUUCUUUAGUCCUUUUUUCCUUUUCUUAAAGAUCAGUUUUGGUCUGUCUCCCCAAGUGGGCUGAAAAAAAAAAAAGAAGAAAAAACAUAGUUUAAAAAUUAAUUUUAGAAAAAUUUCAGCCAUCAUUUCUUCAAAUAUUUAUCCUGUUCCAUGCUCCUCUCUUCCCCUUUUCUCUCUGCCACUCAAAUAACAGGUAUAUUUAACCUUUUUAUUGGUUCAUGGCUCCUGGAUACUCUGCUUUCUUAGUUUUUAAUAUGUCUUUCAUUUUGUAUAAUUUCUUUUUUUUUUUUUUUUUUUUUUGAGGCAGAGUUUCACUUUUGUUACCCAGGUUGGAGUGCAAUGGCGCCAUCUCGGCUCACCACAACCUCCGCCUCCUGGGUUCAGGCAAUUCUCCUGCCUCAGCCUCCUGAGUAGCUGGGAUUACAGGCACGCGCCACCAUGCCCAGCUAAUUUUUUGUAUUUUUAGUAGAGACGGGGUUUCACCAUGUUGACCAGGAUGGUCUCGUUCUUGACCUCAUGAUCCACCCACCUUGGCCACCCAAAGUGCUGGGAUUACAGGCGUGAGCCACCGUGCCCGGCCCAUUUUGUAUAAUUUCUAUUGACCUGUCUUCAGGUUCACUGUUUCUUUUCUCAACCAUGUCUAGUGUGCUCAACACCUGUUGAAGAAAUUCUUUUUCUUUAAGAUCAUGUUUUAAAUUCUAGCAUUUUCAUUUAACUCUUUGUUCUGGUUUUCAUCUUUCUGCUGACUUUCUUUUUUCUUUUUUUUGAGAAGGAGUCAGGCUCUGUCACCCAGGCUAGAGUGUAGUGGCACAAUCUCAGCUCACCGCAACCUCCGCCAACCCCAUUUCAUGCGAUUCUCCUGCCUUAGCCUCCCGAAUACCUGGGAUUACAGGUAGCUGCCACCAUGCCUGGCUGAUUUUUGUAAUUUUUUAGUGGAACCAGGGUUUCACCAUAUUGGCCAGGUUGGUAUUGAACUCCUGACCUUAGGUGAUCCUCCUGGCUCAGCCUUCCAAAGUGCAGUGCACCCAGCUCUGCUGACAUUCUUUAUCUUUUGAUGCAUUUUGUCUACCUUUUCCUUUUAUCUUUUGAUGCAUUUUGCCUACUUUUUCCUUUAACAUAUUAGUCGUAGUUACUUUAAAUUCCUUGUCUGAUCAGUUCUAACAUUCAAGUCUAGGUCUGUUAACAACUUUGUGAGUCUGUUAACAGCUUUUUUUCUUUCUUGUCUGUGUGUUUUGUAUUUCUUGAUUGUAUACCAAAUAUUGUGUAUAAAAUAGACUUUGAUACGUAGUACUUCUGUCCAGAAAUAGGCACAUUUUUUGUGUCCAGUCAUUAGUGUGGAGGUUGUGACAGUCUAGUCAGUGGCUGAACUAGGUUUGGGUUUGUUGCUGCUGUACUUACAGUGCACCAGACUUCCAGUCACUGCAGGAGUGGACUGCUGCUGCUUUGUGCUUCAUGUGAGGUCUGAAUUGCAGAAGGGUUUUUCCUUAGUGUUUCCCUCCAUGCUCAGAUUUCAGCAAGUCUUCACAUCUGUGCCACAGGAGGAAUCUAAUUCAUGCUCCUUUUGAGCUCCCCUGGUGACUGACUGUUGCUUGUUAUAGCUCAUCACGGAGUAAGAGCGUGUUUUUUAGUUUUCAUCCUCCAGCUUCGGUCUUGGGCCCUGAGCUCCUAGACUCCAGGGGUGGUUGAAUCCAGGGAUUUCUCAGUCAUUCUGCCCCUUCCCCAGUAGUGGCAGAGCUCUGCUUUGUAUCAGUGCAAGAUCCUGGCCUGAACUCAUUUUCUGCCCUUCCUUGAGUGGCAGACAGCUCUCACUUUCACCCUUCUACCAAAGGCAGUGCAUCUUUUCCUGGGCCUCUCCCCCAGCAACUUAAGACUUUCCCUUCGUGUAAGAGAAGGGCUCAUGUGUCAGGGAAUUCUGUGCCUUUGUGCCACCUGCAGAGUUUCUCAGUUCUCCUGCCCUGCCCCAAUCUUUUUUGUGAACACCUAGUAGAGACCCAUGGAGAAGAAUGAGGAAGCGAGUGUGGACUUCUCAUGUGUCUGUUGAUUGCUUUGUUUCUAACCUGUUACUCUUGGACUUUAACAAUUUAUGACAAUUUCAGCUGUUUUCUUUUUACCUGCUGGGAUGGUUAAUUUUCUGUGUCAACUUGACUGGGCCAUGGGAUGUCCAGAUAUCUAAUUAAACAUUAUUUCUGGGUGUGUCUGUGAGGGUAUCUCCAGAAGAGAUUUGCAUUUGAAUUGGUGAACUAAGUAAAGCAAAGGGCCCUCCCUCCCUGGUAGGGGUAGGCAUCAUCCAGUCUGUUGAGGACUUGAAUAGAACAAAAGGCAGGGGAAGGCUGGAAUUGCCCCCUCUCUGCUUGAGCUAUCCUGCCCUUGGCACCCCUGGUUCUCAGGCCUCAGACCCAGAUUCCUGCAUCUCCACCUUGCACGUGGCAGAUUGUGAGUCUUCUUAGUCUCUUAUCUAAUAAGUCUCUUCACACACACACAGACACACACAGACACACACACACACACACACACACACACACUGUAUCCUUCUGUUUCUCUGCAGAACCGUAUCUAAUACACCCACUUUUAUGGCAGUUACCUAUCCCUUCUAUAUUCUGCCAAAACUGAAAACAGUUCAUUUUUCCAUCUCUCCUCAAGAGAGGCUUGUCCCCCAUUAGUUCUCUGAUGGGCUCAGGGAGUUAUCCAGUUUUUUUUUCUCACUGUUAGGAUAAAAUUUAUACUCUGUUGGAGCUUUCUACACCUAAAUGGUAACUUGUUUUGAGGUUCUUUUCUGUACUUUUGCUAGAAUUGGAACACUGUAUCUAGUUAAGACAGAUAAGCUGACUUGUGAUACCAUAAUGUUGUGUUGAAUUUUAUAUUCUUAGAAAAGAAUCUGUCAACGUGUUGACUAAUUGCAAAGCAUUUAAUCAAUCAGGAUUCAUGUAUUCAGGUGCUCUGAAUUAUCUGACUCUUUAAUUCUUACUUUAUAAACGAGAAAACUGGGGCAUGGAAAAGUAAAUUCUCCUAACCCCAAAUUAUUACAUUAUUAAGGACAGGACUUAGAGGCCAGAUAUCUUAAGUCAUCAGUAUUCUUUUGGCUCACAGAAUUGGCAAUAUGAUCUAAAGGUAAUAACUAGGUGAUUUUCUUUUAUAUGAAUUAAUGAUGUCAGUUUUCAAAUAUUCACAAGUGCCUACUGUGCAGGGAAAGAAUGCGUGGCAUACAAAAGAUGUAGUCCAGACCUUUAAGAAACUUUCAUUUAAUGGGAAAUCAAGAAGUGUACAUGUAAGAAGGUAAGUAGCAGUGUGGUAAAGACACUCUGUAAAUAUCAGUGAAUGGUAUUGCCAAAAAGUGCUAUUGAUAGAGCAGUACUUCAUUUCUGUAAGCAUCUGUUGAUCUCCUGCUGAAAACAAGAGGGACAACAGGACGCCUCGUAGUCAGGAUAGAAGAGAAAGGCCUUGAGUUGAGCCUUGAACAAUAUUUAAUAUUCAAAGGCUUAAGAAAGGAGAGCAGUUGAGGAGGGGAGAAUAGUUCCAGCAAAAAUGAUGGUGUGCAAGAUGAACACAGUCAGGAAAGAGCAGAUUGGUCUGGAUGGAGAGGAGGAUUUGCAUCAUUUGGGACUGCAUCAUUUAUACCGUUGAAAGCCAGGAUUGAGUAAAGCUGCAGUGAAGGGACUGGUUCAUAUGGAAGCUUUAUUUUAAGAAGAUUAAUCUGAUAGUGACAUGUGCCAAAAACUGAAUAGGUAGAAAUGGGAUGCAGAGAGCCCAGUUGGAACUGAGUCUGGUGUAGUAAUGCAGGAUUGAGGCAAUAAAUGCCAAACUACAGUAUCACCAGAUAAUGGAUAUUUGAAUGGACAGUUUAAAGGAAAAUUGAUGGUAUUUGGUAAUUUACUAGGUAAUCGAGACCAAUGGAAUUAGAAGGAAAAAUGACUAAACAUAGUCAUCAAAUGGUUUUUCUUAAAAACAAUGAAUCUGUAUUUUGGUGUAAGAGUAGCAUUUUCUUACAGCUUAUUGCCUAGUUGGUACAGUUGCCUUAUGAUAAUGACUGCCACCAUGCUUGUUCCUCUUUUAACAGCUGUGAGUCCCCUACCAGCCAAACACCUUCUUGAAAAGGACAAUGCCUUUUCACUUCUCUCAAGUGCUUGGCAAAUAGGAGGCUUUCUGAAGUUAGUCUAUAGUUAGGGGUUCCCAGUUAGUAUUUGAAAUAUUAAAUCAUGCCAGUGGUUGACAGUACGGGCUCUCAUGUUAGAGAUUUUCCUGGCCCUACUGUUCAUCAUCAGCUGUUAACCUCAGGCAAGUUAAUGGACUUUUCUGAGCCUUAGUUUACUUAUUUAUAAAGUGGGAUUAUUUAUAAUGUCUACUUCAUAAAAUUAUGAAGCCUAAGUCAGGUAACUCUGAUAAUGUUUAGUAUGAUUCUUAGAACCUAGUAAACAAUCAGUAAACAGAAGCAGAUGCCACAUGCCUGAUUUAUAGCCAAGAGGAGAAAGAUCAAUCUGAAAUUUUCAUGAUUUAUGGAUUCAAAUUAUACAUUUCAAAGAUGCUUUAUAAGCUAUUGUUUUGGUAAGAAGAACUGAGCUGAAACAGAAUUUUCUGACAGUAAUGAUUAUUAAAUGAUGAAAUAGGCUUUGGUGCAAGUGAAAAAGACUUUAGAGGAUAUAGAUGUUCACCUCGUGCAUAUUAAGUGUACAAAAAUUCACUAAGUAGAUAUGUUUAUCUACAAAGAAAGGUCAUUAAAGUUAGUAAACACCCCCCACCCCAUCCCACUUUUUUCUGAGACAGGGUCUCACUCUGUUGCCUGGGCUGGAGUGCAGUGGCAUGAUUGUGGCUCACUGCAGCCUCAAUAUCCUGGGUUCAAGUGAUCCUCUCACUCAGCCUUCCUAGUAGCUGAGGUGUGCACCACCACACCGGCUAAUUUUUAAAUACUUUUUUGUAGAAGCGAGGUUUCACCACGUUGCCCCGGGUGGUCUCAAACUCCUGAGCUCAAGUGAUCUGCUCACGUCAGCCUCCCAAAGUGCUGGGAUUACAGGCAUGAGCCACUGCGCCUGGCCAGUAAACCCCAUUCAUUUACACCAUCUCAUUUGUCUCUCCAGCAAUCCUGUAGGGUAGGUAGGAUCUGUCCUUAUUUGUUAUUUAGGUGAAGAACUUGGAAGUGGUGUGAGGACUAGGUGUUUUGCCAAGAGUCACGCAGCUGGAGUGGCAGAGCUCUCUCUAUACUCUUCUGAUUCCACAAUGCUGUUUACAUCACAUCUGGAGAACAGCACUCUGAGGCACAGAUGUUCAGUGGGAGGGAUGAGACACAGGCUGCAAUGCCAAAAAAGUAACUGGGAAUAAAAGCAGAAAACAAGACAUUUGUUUCUGUUAAAAUGAGGCAGAAAAUAAGGCGUUUGUGGUUUGGGAUUGAGCAUUUGGAGAAGUGGGGAGCGAUUCGAUUUGGGUGAAACUGCUCAUGGAGUGCUGCGUCUGGUUCUGGACAACUCAUUACUAGGCUUAUGGAAACCAGCUGGAGGAGGUUCAAAGAAAAGCUCCAACAUGAUUAACGGGCUGACGGGAUUGAUUUAUAAGAAAUAUUAAAAGAAUUAAAUGUGUAUAGCUCUGCUAAGCAAAGAUGAAAGAGACACCAGCUAAAUGUAUACAAAAAUCUGAAAUGUGUAAACUUUAAAAAGGGAUUAAUUAUUUAACAUGAUAUAUGGGGGUACAAUAUGCAGUAACAGGAUAAAAAUUUCAGCUGAGUAUCCACAAAAAUUCCCCGAUAAUGAAUCUGUUGGGCUGUCUGCAGCGUGGCCUUUCUCUGGAGAGACAAUAGAAAUUCCAAGCCUUAUGAUUUUAAAACUUUCUUGGGAACUAGGUAUUAGAUGAUGUUAGAGAAUUGUUAAUUUGGUCAGGUACGAUAACAGUAUUGUGGGUCUAUAAGAAAAAAUUUCAUUUUUUAGAGUUACAUACUCUGAAAUAAGCCUAGAAUAUGAUGUAAGACAUUUGGUUUAAAUACUACAGUAAGGAAAGAAGGGAGAGAGGAAGGAAAGAAAGGAGGAGGAAGAGAGGAAAAAGAGGAAAGAAAGAAGAAAAGACAAGAGAAAGAAAAAGGACAAAGAAAGUAGGGUGGGCCCUGUGGCUCAUCCCUGUAAUCCCAGCACUUUGGGAGGCCGAGGUGGGAGGAUUACUUAAGCCCAGGAGUUCAAGGCUCCAGUGCGCCACUGCACUCCAGCCUGGGUGACAGAGCGAAACCCUGUCUCUAAAAAAAGGUAAGUUAAAAAGAAAGAAAAGGAUAGAUGAAGCAAGUGUGGCAAGAUGUUGGAAAUGUUGAAUCUGAAGGAAGUGAAUGUGUGAGUUCACUUUCCUCUUCAAUCUUCUUUAUGUAUGUUUGCCAACUUUCACAAUAAAAAAUGUAAAUUACAUUUUCCUGAUCAAAACUUAGUAGCAAUAUUAAUCCCUGGGCUCCAUGACUAGAAAAGCCUCAUUACCACAGGGGCAGAGUUCUGGCUGACCAGGGAGCACAAUGGUUCGCCAUCAUGCUCUGGUAAGAUACUGUGGCCUGAAGGGCCCUUUCUAAGAUUGUAGAUAGAAAUCCAGGAAACUUCUUAGAACUGCAGACUUCUCAGGGUACCUGUAGGAAGUGGGUCUCCUAAGGUGAGAAAGCAGAGGGCAGAGGUCAUGAUUAGAGGCUGACCUCUUCUGCUCUUCUGCCCCUCAUUCAUGGAGAAUACUGGACAUUGAGUGGAGGUCUAGGUGUCUUUGGAAUAGCAAAACCCUACUUUUCUUUUUCUUUUGGAGACAAAGUCUUACUCUGUUGCCAAGGCUGGAGUGCAGUGGUGUGAUCUCGGCUCACUGAAACCUUCGCCUCCCAGGUUCAAGUGAUUCUCCUUCCUCAGCCUCCCAAGUAACUGGGAUUACAGGUGACUGCCACCAUACCCAGCUAAUUUUUGUAUUUUUAGUAGAGAUGGGGUUUCACCAUGUUGGCCAGACUGGUCUCGAACUCCUGGCCUCAAGUGAUCCGCCUGCCUUGGCCUCCCAAAGUGCUGGGAUUACAGGCAUGAGCCACCACGCCCAGCCACAAAACUCUAAUUUCUUGAAUGGAGAAACAGUUUCCCCUUAUUUAUUGAGUUUGGGAAGCAAGAAGAGGGGUAAUUCAUUAAGUAAAAGGUUCCCAAAUCCAGAAGACAUGGAUAAAGCUGAGGCUUUAUUUUUUUAAGGAAGAAUUUGUAAAACUGUCUUCUUUUUAGACUCUUUAGGAAGACCUCACAUCCUUGCCUCAAACGUUGAGAGUGGGAAAUCUAGGCAGGUUUUGAAAUGCUCACCCUAUGUCUGCUUUUUUGUUUAUUAGAAAAAUAUAAAUAUUUUAUCUGAAUUUUGCUGAUAGCAAUCAAGCAUGAACACAGCCCCGCUAUUUGAGGAGCUGUCAUUUCUGAAUUUCUCCAGCAUGCACAACGAGGCCAGCAAAUGGCAGUAAGAGCGAGGUGGAUUCUAGCUCAGUAGAAGGAUGAACUCUGGAACCAUCGGCCCUGACUAAAAGUGAAGCAGUGGCUGCGUUGUGGGAAAGCUGGCUGGAGUCUCUGUCAUAGGCAGACAUUCUUUUUCUCCACCCCGUCACUGUGUUGAUUCGGGCCCACAGUAAGCCUCCUGGCCCCUAGGAUGGAACCCCCACCAUCCUCCUCUGCCUUGACUCCAGAGUGAUUGUUCUGAAGCACAACUGGGCAUCCUUCCCCUUCAUGAACUCCUAGCAACUGUGGGGACUCUAUCCCUGUGCUCACACCAUGCCUCACACGUAGACAUUCCUAAUGAAGAUUUGAUAGAAUUCUUGUAACCUCAGUGCCUCCCACUCGACUCUUCUAGUUGCUUCUCUCUAUGCCUUUGUACAUACAUUUAUUUUAUUAUUUUUGAGACAGAGUCUUACUCUGUCACCCAGGCUGGAGUGCAUUGGUACCAUCUUAGCUUACUGCAGCCUCCACCUCCCAGGCUCAAGCAAUCUUCCUCCCAAGUAGCUGGGACCACAGGUGUGUGACACCAUGCUCAGUUAAUUUUUUGUAAUUUUUGUAGAGAUGGGGUUUCACCAUGUUGCCCAGGCUGGUCUUGAACUCCUGGACUCAGGCGAUUCAACAACCUCCUUUGUAACACUUAACCUCUGCCCAGAGGGUGUUUUUUUCACUUUGUCCACCCAGCGAUAUUUCAAGACCCAAGACUCACUUUAAAGUUUAUAGUGAUAAAGUCUUUUUUUUUUCCCCCUAAGAUAUGAGGUCUUGUUAUGUUGUCCAGGCUGGUCUCAAACUUCUGGCCUCAAGCAAUCCUCCUGGCCUCCCAAAGUGUUAGGAUUACAGGCAUAAGCCACCAUGCCUGGACCAUAGUGAAGUAUUUUUUUGGUGGCUCAAUCAGAAUGAAUCCAUCCUCACAUCGGUCGCCAUGGCUCACCAUGCAUUGGCUUGUUAUUCUACCUAGCACUCACCUUUUUUUUUUUUUUGAGACAGAGUCUCGCUCUGUCACCCAACUGCAGUGCAGUAGUGUGAUCUUGGCUCACUGCAACCUCCACCUCCUGAGUUUAAGCAGUUCUCUGUCUUAGCCUCCCAAGUAGCUGGGAUUACAGAUACACACCACCACACCCAGCCAAUUUUUGUAUUUUUAGUAGAGGGGGUUUCACCAUCUUGGCCAGGCUGAUCUUGAACUCCUGACCUCAUGAUCCAUCUGCCUCGGCCUCCCAAAGUGCUGGGAUUACAGGCAUGAGUCAUGGUGCCCGGCCCCUAGCACUCAUCCUAAUCAUACAUUUACUUUGUCUUUCCCGCCAGACUUAUGUUUUCACCUUUAUUUCCCCAGGCACUUGCCAUCAUCAAAUUCUAGUCACUUGCCAUCAUCAAAUAAACCUCUGGAGCUACGAUAUUACAAACAUGAAGGUGUUGAGCACUCAGCAAGUUUAAGUGAGUAAACAAAGGCUUUCAUUCAUAUUUACUGACUGUCCUGACUCUGGUUCAAGGAGAGCAUAGUCCACAGAACCAGGGACCUGGCUGCUCUGGAAGCUAGACUUUAGCCUACCCCUUGGUCCUUGAAUGGGGACACAUUUCCCUUCAUACCUGUGUUUUAGGGACAGAAAGAUGAGUAAUGCCGUGAUAUAUGCUGGAAAUGUUUAUUCCACUACCCUAAGCUGACUCUCAACUUUAACAAUCCAUGAAAGAAGCAAGUUGAUAUAUAACUUAUUCUAAUUUGUCAUGGCUUUCUUUAUUUGUUUCCGGUUAAAAGAGGAGGUGGCAUUGAAUUGUUUGUUUGGUUUGGUUUCUUCUUCAGUAAGAAGCAUCUUAAUAUAACUAGUCUGGACAUCUGUCCCAUUUUCAAAAAUUACAAGUUUCGAUCAUUGCUAAAUUGUACAGAUCCCAAUCUGUCUGCUUUGCAUACAUUUGCAUUUAUAAAAGCAGAACCUGACUAGCAGUCUUUCUAAUGCAAUCCCCUAAAUGCAUGAAGUAUUAGAUUGCUUCUCCCCAUUGGUUUAUGCAUUGCUAAAGGCUUAAAAGGAUCAUUGACUUGAAUUAUUUAAUAUGUACAGCAGGUUGAGUUUCCUUUCUUUUUUAAGAAAAGAACCUUCAGGGGCAUUGCUUUAGUUUUUUAAUGUUAAAUCUCAUUUUUCUUUGAAAAUAAGAAGUUAAAGCUGUAUUCGCAUAAGCUCCCAAAGUGCCAGAUUUUCAUUGUGUUUUUAAACCAUCUAGGAAAUGUUUGAUUCUAAUGAAACGUUACUGCUGAAAAUUGGGCUGAAAUUGCUGGGCUGAAAAUAUUGUUAUAACUUCAUGUUAUUCCAAUGUUGUAUUAUUAUUUUUUCUUUCUUUUUUUUUUGGAACUGAUACAGAUGAAGAGACAGGGAGCAAUCCAAUGGGUAAUAAAAAAGGCAGCCUGGACUGUUGUUGCUGUUUUUGAAAUUUAAGCUGGUUUUCAAUUAAAUGUGAAUGGUCUCGGACUGGAAAUGUUGAACAUUUUUUACCAUGUAAUUUACGUUUUAGUCUUACUGGGUUUUUUUUUUGUUUUUUUUUUUUUGAUGGUUUACAUUUUCCCCAUGGAAAGCAGCUAUGUCAUUUCGGUGCGAUUCGAUGGUAACAUCUGGGUGCAUGGUUUUAUUUUGGUUUGUAUUAUGUUCAGAAAGCGCGAUGCCAGAAAUAGAGUGGUGUGUAAUGUCUAGUGUGUCUUCCUUUAACAAUCAAAGGCUCUUAUUUAAUCCACUUAAUGAGACACUGCAGAAAUUUCAAAAAUGAAAGUCCCAUCCACAUAAGGCAGUCCUAUAAUGUAAAAAGUUUAGGUGUGGGAAUUAAUAGAGUGAUCACAUAAUUUAUCAGCUAAAAGGAGACACUUUUAUUUUGAGACUGAGUCUCACUCCGUUACCCAGGCUGGAGUGCAGCGGCACCAUCUCCACUCACUGCAACCUCCGCCUCCUGGGUUCAAGCGAUUCUCGUGCCGCAGUCUCCUGAGUAGCUGGGACUACAGCUACUCAGUAUUUUAGUAGAGAUGGUGUUUCACCAUGUUGGCCAGGCUAGUCUCUUAACUCCUGACCUCAGGUGAUCCGCCAGGCUUGACCUCCCAAAAUGCUGGGAUUACAGGCGUGAGCCACUGUGCCUGUCCCGGAGACCAUUUUGAGAGUGAAGAGGGAGCAUGAAAAUAAUUCAUUGAUCUACAACUGGGACCAUCCAGGGCAAGCCAGUUGCCAUUACCACUAGCUAGAAAGCUUGCCAAGGUCUCAUUUACCGUGGUAUACAGCAAAUUAUUCUGUGAAUUCUGGAAAUUCUGGUAAGUCAUUGAGGUAGCUCUGUGCCAAGGAACAGUCUGGUAGGAUUCUAAUAUUUCAGGCAGUACAACACUUUCCUGCAUUUGUAGCAGGUAAAGGGAGGUUAGGGCAGAAGACAAAACCAUUGGGACUCGACAAAGAGCACAAACGUCUAAUGAUAAACCUGAUGUAUCUAAUGGUAAAUUGUUAUCAGCUAAAGAUCUUUCAUAAUAAAUAACAUCAAUUGUAGGAGGGCACAGAUACUGUGGAAAGCUGGGAUUCAGGUUGCCUGUGGCUUUAAUUCCAGAGUCAGAAAUAUUAGUCAAGGAUAUCAGUACAUGAAAUAAGUUUUCAAUGUUAUAUGCCACAAGAUGCGGCUGUCCUAUUUUCACUUCCAGUAAUUCCUUCCGAAUUAAUAUACCUUAAAAAUAGCUGCAGCUUCUCAAAUCUGUGAGAAUCAUAUGUGCUGCUUGCUACGCUUUCCUUUUUCCUGAAGGUCUCUUUGAGGUCUUUCAAGAACUCAAUUCAAUUCAGCAACAAUUAGGGGUCUAAGGUAUACAGACACUGCAAGGUGACCCUGAGACAAAGAGGAGGGCAAACCCCUGCCCUCAGCCACCUCUCUAUAAUACAGGAGAAAGAAAAGAAAUACUAAUACAACACUACAUAGGUAGGUGCCAUUAAAAUGGUACAUACACCAAGCUGGCCAAGAUGGUGAGACCCUGUCUCUACUAAAAAUACAAAAAUUAGCUGGGUGCAGUGGCACACACCUGUAAUCCCAGCUACUCGGGAGGCUGAGGCAGGAGAAUCACUUGAACCUGGGGGGCGGAGGUUGCGGUGAGCUGAGAUCAUGCCAUUGCACUCCAGCCUGGUGACAGAGUGAGACUCCAUCUCAAAAAAAAGGGGGGGGUACAUACAGCCGGGCGCGGUGGCUCAUACCUGUAAUCCCAGCACUCUGGGAGGCCGAAGCAGGCAGAUCACGAGGUCAGGAAUUCGAGACCAGCCUGGCCAACGUGGUGAAACCCCUUCUCUACUAAAAUACAAAAAUUAGCCAGGCAUGGUGGCACAUGCCUGUAGUCCCAGCUACUUGGGAGGCUGAGGCAGGAGAAUUGCUUGAAACCAGGAGGUGGAGGUUGUAGUGAGCCAAGAUUGUGCCACUGCACUCCAGCCUGGGUGACAGAGUGAGACUUUGUCUCAAAAAGAAAAAAAAGUAUAUACAUUAAAGGCAGGUGGUAGGUAUAAGGAAAUUUGUAACAUUAGAAUUUUCUGCAUGUUUGAAAUAUCUUAUUAAGUUUUAAAAACUAAAAAAGGGAGAUACAUGUAUAUUUAUGUAUGUGUGUACAUAUAUACACACAUAUAUACAUAUGUAUUUAUAUAUUUGUAUUUUAUAUAUCUGUGAGACUUUAGAGGACCAAGAAAUCACAUCUGGUUAUGGGGAUCUGUGAUGGUUUUAUCUACCAUUUUCUACAACAUACCUUUCCCUUUGCAACCCAGCUUCCCUAAAAACUGUCUCAUAAAGAGUCCUCUUUUCCCUGCACCUCUGCAGUGGUAAGCAGCAAAACACACAUUCUUUUGGGUCCCCAGAACAUUCCCUAUAGUUUGCCCUUAACAGCCUUUGUUGUGAAAUGUAUUCUUUCUGUCUGAACCUUGCCUGCCUCUCAUACAUGGAGUUUUGGAUCCCGGCUCCCGGUCUGCCUCCUCACCCCCUCCCUUGCCAAAAGAAUCUGGUGUGUGACCACUGCUCCUCUUUUCCACUGCCACAACUCCAGUCCAAGCCACAAAGCUCUCUCACCUGGACUCCUGCGGGGAGUUCCUUUCUCUCUGCAUGAGUCGAUUCUCCGCACAGCUGGCAGAGAGAGUCAGCUGCCCUUUUUUGUCCACUGAUUGAAGGCAAGAUGCGCUGAAAGCCGCUAUGAUCACGUCUGCAAAAGCACACUCUGGCCCCUUGGCAGCAGGCGCCCUGCACAUUCUCCAUCUGCACGUCCGGUGGUGACACGGUGCAUAAUUGCGGCCCCUUCGUGGUACAAACUCUCUCACUUAGCUCCGUCAGUGCUGGCACAGCAGAAAAGAAGAAAUCAAAAAUAUCUGGAUUUGAAAGGUAACAAGAAGCUGGAAAACAACUCCUGGCCGAGCCUGGGACUUUCAGUGGAGACGUGCAGCCUCGUGUUUUUCCACUGACAGCUGAAAAUGAGCCCAGCUUCAGCAAAGCUUGUUUCCUUCCUUCCUCAAGGUUACCGGCAAUUCUCCGUUCUUUCAGGAAAGCAAGAAAAUGAAUCUGGGAUUGUUGUUCUUUUAUCUAUUAUAGGAUUGAUAAUACAUUCCUCCACCAAGUGUUCUGCUUGUAACAAUGCUCACUUCCUGACACUAUUGUAUAUGCAGGAGUAUUACUACCAAGGUAAACACAGAAUUGGCCGCUCGAUUUCAAAUCCCCAAACUGAGUGAGAGAAAUCAGAACUAUAAUAGGGGAUUCCUUGGAGUUGGAUACCCAUGUGCGACGGUCAGAGAGCUUGCUCAUCGUAUGCAGGGGCUGCUGCUCUAGCAGCGCUUACUGCUUCAUUUCCUGGCCUUUACGCUUUUCUCAGCUCAGUUGCCUUUCUUCUCUCUGGCAGUCACGUUCCUUUGGGUCAAACGGCAGAUGAUUCUUUGGAAUCACCUCGUAUUCAAAGGAGCUCCAACAAGGCAUUGGGCAUCCACAUUCAUUCUCCUGAAAGAAGAAUGUUAUGGAAGCCAAGGUUGCCAUGGUGCCUCUUCAUGUUGUUUGCUCAGCCAAGGCCCAAGCUUUGUGCUUUGAACAUGAAAUUAGAGAGCUUCAGAGCAAGAUCCACAUUUUCAGUGACCCCAUGCAACUGAAUAAAAGUCAGAAAGCUGGAAUGGAACCUAAAUGAAUACAUGAAACAAGAGUAGGAAUUGGAAGGAGUAACAAUAAAAAUGUGCCAUGAACUGAGGAGUGUAAUUAAUCAACUCAGUUCUGUUACAAGCGGAACUGUGUCAGUCAACAAUCGCCGCAGUUAUCUCAGUGACCACCUUUUCCCAGGUGGGACAGUAGGUGCUGGAAUGGGUCACUGAGCAUUGCCCAACCAGAGUUUGCACAAGAAGCUGGAAGCUCUGACUGGGGAUCCUAAAUAUGUGAAAGUUAAUAGGCUCUUUGUGCAGAAUACGAGCCCCGUGUAUGGAUGUAGCUGAAGGGUUGGCCUUUAAGUCUUUAUUCCUUCACAAACCUGGUAGGAUGGAUAUGCUUUUCUCCUUUUAAAAAAUGUUUGUCAACAAUUGCAUUUAUGAUGCCAUAUACAGUAACUCCCAGAUCACGACCCAUGAAAAUGCUUCAGAACCCAGUAUAAGGAGAUUUUUAGCUAUUUGUGACAAAAGAGAGGCUGCUUCAGUGUGGAAAUUCUUCAGAGAAGUAUUUGAUUGUUUUCUCAGAUUUUUUUUUUUUGGAAACAGAGUCUCACUUUGUCAUUCAGGCUUGAGUGCAGUGGCUGCGAUCAUGGCUUACUGCAACCUCUGCCACCUAGGUUCAAGCAAUUCUCCUGUCUCAGCCUCCAGAGUGGCUGGGAUUACAGGUGCAUGCACCACCAUGCCUGGCUAACUUGUAUUUUUAGUAGAGGCAGAGUUUCAUCAUGUUGACCAGGCUAGGCUCAAACUCCUCACCUCAGGUGAUCCACCUGCCUCAGCCUCCCAAAGUGCUGGGAUUACAGGUGUGAGCCACUGUGCCCAGCCUGUUUUCUCAGAUCUUAUAUUUUGUUACUCAAGCUUUCAUUUCUAUCUUCUUAUUCAUUUUGGAAGUAGUACACUUAAGUAGGGUUUUAACAAUCAAAUAUCUUUGGAAAAUUCUCUGGUUCCUUUCUUAUUCCUACAAAAAUGUGUUCAAUAUAGCUGUUAUAUUUCUUUCAAAUUAUUCAUUUCUCUAACUCAGAAUUUAUCUUAUGCCUAAUUUUUAUUGAAUAGUCUUCACUUCUUGUCAUUCAGCUUCUGGUCUAUUACUCCAUUCUAGGUCUAAUUGGCUAUUAUAAUAAAGAGCUUUUAACAGAUUCCUUCUCCAAUGUGUCUUAUCUUUUGACUGCAUGCCAGUGACAAACCGUCAACUGCUUUGAUUCUUCGUAACAUUCCGCAGAACAUGCUGACUCCUCUCUUCCUGAAAGCAAUGACCAAGCACAGCACUGUAAGAUAAUAUGUACCCAACAGGGACAUGGGUGCAUAGCAAAAAUUGGAAGGAAGGAGGACCUUUCUUAGCAAUGGGUGAUAGGGUCCCUGGAUUUAGGCUCCAAAGGGUUGUGAGGUGAAGCACACAUUGUCCAUGGCCAGGAAGCACAGAGGAGGGAUGAAGAGCUAUGCCUAAUGAAACUUCAUCCACACAGAGAUGGAGGCUGCAGCUGCAGGAGCUCGGAGCUGCCUUACCCAGACCAGGGGCCAGGGAGGGCUUUCUAGAGGAAACAGCCUCUGAGCUGCCAGCUGAUAGAGGAACUCCACGUCAACUCUUGUGGUUCCCCAGGGCUGCCUUUUCCACACCCAUUUAUUGGCAUUGAAGUUUGACCACCUUCAGGCCCUAAAAGCCUGCCAGGUCCUCUUCUCUGCAGAGCAAUCCCACCAACCUGCAAAAGGCUGUCACCCCCAUCUCCUGCUCAGAAACUGGAUCCCUGGAAGGACUCGGGGCCACUGACUCCAUCCUGGCAGCUUUUGCAAGAAAGGCUUCAGACUUAAGGAUGUUUCCAUCUUUGCCAGGUUGCCUUUUCUCCUUCUCUUAGGCUUCGAGUUUGGAGCACGCAAAUGUGCUGAGAAGUCAACCCUUCCUGCAAGGUGAAACACAAGGGCCUUUCCCUGCAGAAAGAAGAAAGCAGAUGGAACGUCCGUCUUCCUCCAGUAGAGGAUUGACUCUGUCGGGCAGCCAUCCAACAUGGAAAGCACAGUGCCUGCCUGCCUGCCUCCCUGCAUCCCUCCCUCCCUUCCUCCCUCCCUCCCUUCUCCCUCCCUCUUCCUUCCCUCCCUCUCUCCCUCCUCCUUCCCUCCCUCUCUCCCUCCCUUUCUCUUCCCUUCUUCUCCCUCUCACUUUCUCCCUUUCCUCCCUCUCUCCCUCCCUCUCUCUUCCCUUCUUCUCCCUCUCACUUUCUCCCUUCCCUUCUCUUCCUCUCCCUCACCCCCUCCCUCUACUCUCCCUUCCCUUUCCUUUCCCUCACCAUCUCCCUCCCCUCACCCUCUCCCUCCCCUCCCUUCUCCUCUCGUUUCUCUCUCUCACCCUCUCUCUCCCUUCCCUCUCUCUCUCCCCCUUUCCUAUCCCUUUCCCUUCCCUCUCCCUCUCCCUUUCCUUCCUCUUUCCCUCUCCCUCAGCCUCUCCUUCCCCUCCCCUUCCCUCUUCCUCUUCCUCUCCCUCUCCUUUCCCUCUCCCUCCCUUCCCUCUUCCUCUCCCUUACCUCUCCCUCUCCCUUUCCUUUCUCUCUCCCUCUUCUUCACCCUCUCCCUCUUCUUCACUCUCUCCCUCCUUUCCCUUUCCCUCUCCCACUCCUGCCUUCCCUUUCCUCUCCCUCUCUCUCAUCCUCUCCCUCCUCUCCCCUCUGACUCUCCCUCUCUCUUCCCUCUCCCUCUCCCUCUCCCUUCCCUCUCCCUCCCUUUCCUCUCUCUCCCCCUCUCCCUCCCCUCCCCUCCCUUCCCCUCCCUUUCCCUCUCCCUCUCCCUCUCCCUUCCUUCUCCUCUCCCUUCCCUCUCCCUCCCUUCACUCUCCCCUCUUCCCUUCCCUUCCCUUUCCCUCACACUCUCCCUCCCCUCCCCUCCCUUUCCCUUCCCUCUCUGUUCCCUCUCCCUUUCCUUCCUUCCUUUCUUCCUACUUUCCUACCUUUAGGGCUUCAGUCUUUGGAGCCCAUUCUGAAUAUGCUGUAAUGUCUGCCCCUUGCUCUUCUCUGUUGAAAAAGGAAAGACUUGGAAGCCACUUACCUUUUACUGAAUAAAAAAAUUAGUAAAAGAGCUAAAAAUUAAUGGUUAAAAAUGUAAGCAUAAAUUAUGCAGUAUACUAACCAAUGAAAAGAUACACUUCUCUUAAUUAAAAGCUGACAGGGAAGGAAAAAAGGAAAGAGAAAAAAAAAAACAAUAAAUGACCUAUGAGUUGGAAGAGCAACAUCAGAGAAAAUAGAUACUGUGUAUAGUCUUGUACGUCUAUGGAAUAACAUUUGUAGAGAAAUUGGUCUGAUCCUUCUGAGUAAAGAGAACUGUGGGUAAAAUUAAAGGGAGACUGAAUGAAAUCCAAACGCAUAGCAGAUGCUGUGCCUAACUGGAAUGGUUGCUGAUCUCCUCCAAACUAAGAAGUGUUUGAGGCUCAGCUUUAAUAUGAUUAAGAUACAAAGACAGAACGAGUGAAAGAGAGCAGGAGCUCACUGGAAGAACAUGCAAGGUUCCUUACUACUGAUUGUCUAAAAUUACAAUUGUUCUAGAUGCAAAAGAAAAGGAAAAGCUUCUCUGUUAAAAAGGAGCUUAUGCUGUAGAAGGUUUAAAAUAUGCUUCUGACCCAUCUCCAACAUUCUAAAUCCUUCCCAGAAAAGCAAGCCAGUCCCAAGAAAUGUUAAAUCAAAUUGCUGGAAAGAAAAAUGCAAAAUAUUAAAAUGUAUUAUGAAGCACCAAUAAUUAAAUCAGAGCUGGUGCAGAAAUGGGCCAGCAGAUCAAUGAGACAGACAUCAAGUCCAGGAAUGCGGAUCUGCAAAUGCACCAAGUAAUUUGAUAUAAAAUAAAGGUGGCACCAGUGGGGAAAAAAAUUGAUCUUGUAAUAAUUGGUAUUGCAAUAAUUGUCUAGUAAUUGGGGGAAGAAAUAAGUUUAUUCCUUAUCUCAUUUCUUUUUUUUUUUUUUCUUUUUCAGACAGGGUCUCACAAUGGUAGUCCAGGCUGCAAUGUGGCAACCCGAUCUCUGCCCACUGCCACCUUGAUCUCCUGGGUUCAGGCGAUUCUCUCACCUCAGCCUCCCAACUAGUUGGGACUACAGGCACAUGCCACCACCUCUGGCUAAUUUUUUGGCUUUUUUUUUUUUUUUUUGAGAUGGAGUCUUGCUCUGUCACCCAGGCUGGAGUGCAGUGGCACGAUCUCAGCUCACUUCAACCUCUACCUCUCAGGUUCAAGCAAUUCUCCUGCCUCAGCCUCCUGAGUAGCUGAGCCACCAUGCCCAGCUAAUUUUUGUAUUUUUAGUAGAGACAAGGUUUCACCAUGUUGGUCAGGCUGGUCUCAAACUCCUGAUCUCAUGAUCCGCCCACCUCAGCCUCUCAAAGUGCUUGGAUUUUUUAUUACAGGCAUGAGCCACCAUGCCUGGUUUAUUUAUUUAUUUUUUUUUAAUUUUUAUUUUUGCAUUUUUAGUAGAAAUGGGAUCUUGUCAUGUUGCCUGGGCUGGUCUUGAACUCCAGGACUCAGGCAGUCCACCCACCUUGGCCUCCCAAAGUGCUAGGAUUACAGGUGUCAGCUGCUGUGCCUGGCAGCUUAUUUCUUAUACUAAAUGAGUUGGAGACAGCUAAAAAGUUUCUGUGUAUGCUAACUACAUUUAAAAAAUUUUUUCUAAGGAUAUCUGCUGGAACCAGUCAUGCCACCAACCAAAUAAAGAUGCAAGUCUAUAAAACGUACCCAGUUUUUCAAACCACUUAAAAAUUAUUCUAAAAAUUAUUUAUGUCCAGAAAUUUUGCAUUGAUUUCCUGAAGGAGCAUUAAUAUGGGACUUGGCUUAUAAAAUGAUGAACUCAUUCUCCCCACUCAAUGUAGGAGUCUCUCAGAUUUAAAAAAUAAGUGGCCUCGUCCUGACAACCUAUAAAAGUGAAUACUUGGCUGGGCACGGUGGCUCACACCUGUAAUCCCAGCACUUUGGGAGGCUGAGGCAGGUGGAUCACGAGGUCAGGAGAUUGAAACCAUCCUGGCCAACAUGGUGAAAACCCAUCUCUACUAAAAAUACAAAAAGUUAACUGGGCGUGGUGGCAUGUGCCUGUAGUCCCAGCUAUUUGGGAGGCUGAGCCAGGAGAAUCGCUUAAACUUGAAAGGUGGAGGUUGCAGUGAGCCGAGAUUGCACCACUGCACUCCAGCCUGGUGACAGAGUGAGACUUUGUCUCAAAAAAGAAAAAGUGAACAGUUACACCUGAAACACCAGGAGACUGGCAGUUCUUUGCAUAGGGGUUACAAUUAAAAUUGAGCUGCCUCUGACAUCCAUUAACACCAAAAUUAGGAAACUAUACUUGUAUGGAGUUUUAUGAUUGAACUUGCUUAUUGAACCAAGAGAUAUAGUUUAUAUGGAAACUUUUGGGCAUAUCAAAAUCAUCUUGGCUUAGCCUAGCAAAAUAAUACAUUUUGCUGAUGUUAACUAUUUUCUGCAAUGGGCUGAUUUUAAGUUUCUUUGAGAAAAUACAAACACACACACACUUUAAAAUUAUAUUAAAAUGCAAUCCUAAACCUCAAGGUCCAGAACCACAUCUUAACAUCAGCCAUGCAUAAGAUGUGUAUAUUUUUGUGUUCUAAAAACUACCAGUAAGAAAGUAUUAGUAGUUAUACGAUUGAUUGUCAGUUAGCCAAGGGAAGAUUAGUACGGUUAAAGACUCAAAGUGGCUUCACAAUCUAUAUCAAAAGGAGAAAAUAAAGGAAAUGGAGCCUAGAAAUGAGGAAAUUGGGACACAGGAAAAACAAAAUGAGGGCUGGUAAAUGAAUAACAUAAGGGAUAAGACUAAUACACGAAACACCCCAAAUAAAGAGCCAACAUUUGCUGAGCUCUUACCGUGAGCCCGUGCUAAGCACUUUAUGUGUAUUACCUCAUUUCAUCCCCAAGGAACCAUCUGAGGCAGGCACCUAUCAUCUCCAUUUACAGAUAAGGAAUAGAGCCAGAGAGGCUGAGCCACUGGGCUGAUUCCACAGCUACCCUGGUGAAGCCGGGAUUUGAACCUAAUCAUUGGCUCUGGAAGCCCAUGCACCCAAUUGCUGCACUAAGUGAAUGCAUGCACUACCACCAACGUUGCCAAAAGUGGGCCACAGCUCAGAUUCUGCAUUUCCCAGUAGCCAAAACAGAGAGAGUGUGAUCAGAUCUCACUUUAAUAAGCAAGUCUCAAGCCAGAAAAAGACGGUAUCAGGAAGUGCACAGGCUGCCAGUGAAAACCCCCCUUCUUCUCUGGUCGUCCAUACGGUUUUACACUACUUGCUUACAGAAUGAAAAUGGCUGGAGUUCAGGUGUAGUUUCUAUGCCUUGUUGUUAGGAUUGGGCUUUUCAAGUUUAUUUUUUGUUGUUGUUUUUAACAGACUGUAUUUUUUUUUUAGAAAAUGUUUAGAUUUACAGAAAGUUUGAAAGGAUAAUACAGAGAGUUCCCGUAUACCUCAGUUUCUGCAAUUAUUAACAUCUUCAUUAGUUUCUGCAAUAAUUAACAUUUUACAUUAGUUCAGUACAUUUGUUACAAUUAAUAAGCCAGGGCUGGUGGGGACAGUGGCUCAGGCUCCUAAUCCCAGCACUUUGGGAGGCAGAGGUGGGUGAAUCACUUGAGGUCGGGAGUUUGAGACUAGCCUGGUCAACAUGGUAAACCCCAUCUGUGCUAAAAAUACAAAACAUUUACCCAGGUAUGGUGCUAGUUGCCUGUAUUCCCAGCUACUCAGGAGGCUGAGACACAAGAAUUGCUUGAACCGGGAAGGUGGAGGUUGCAGUGAGCUGAGAUCACACCACUGCACUCCAGCCUGGGAGACAGAGUGAAAAUCCACCUCUGCCCCCCCCCCACAAAAAGAAAGAAAAGAAAACAAUUAAUGAGCUAAUAUUGAGACAUUAUUAUUACUAAAGUCCAUGCUUUAUGCAGAUUUUCCUCGUUUUUACCUACUGUCAUUUUUCAGUUCCAGAAACCCAUUCAGUUUUCAUUUAGUUGUCUGCUUAGGCUCCUCUUGGCUGGACUGACUUGUAAUCUACUUUCUGCAGAGCCUGAGGACUUUAGCAUAAUUUCCUUGAAAUUACAGCUCAAUAUUUUCAAUCACUUAUACAAACAACCUAAUGUUAUGAUGGCCCAUAACAAUGUUUCAAGGUAAUAAACUCUGUUUUCGGUGCCGACUGAAAGAACUGCUGCUUAGCCUCCUGCCAGAUGAUGAAUUGGGUACACAGGAGCAUUUUUCCAGGUAAAGCAUAUUUCAUGGGACUUCUUAAGCCACAGCCUUAUAUGCAGUAAUUGUCCAUUUAUGAGACUUAUGUUCAAAUUUCAGGCACUCUGUUUUCGCUGAGCAUAUCUUCAACUUUGAUAAGUAUGGCUUUGAUCACUCAGAAAAUCUAACGACUAAUUUUUUUUCACCAUCGGUUUUUUUUUUUCUGUUGACUCUGUCUUCUUUGUCUAUUUGCCUAGAAACAUGCUCGGGAUUCUUUCAGGCCUUAGGAAAUGCAAAAAAGUUUCCUGCAAUCUAGUUACUGCUUGAUUCCCUUGUUCUGCUUAUUGCUGGAAUUCUUGAAAGCUUGGUGUAUCAGUCUUUUUUUAAUGCUGCUGAUGAAGAUAUACCCAAGACUGGAUAAUUCGUAAAGAAAAAGGUUUAAUGGACUCACAGUUCCAUGUGGCUGGGGAAGCCUCACAAUCAGGGCGAAAGGCUGGUCUUACCUGACAGCAGGCAAGAGAGAAUGAGACCCAAGUGAAAGGGGUUUCCCCUUAUAAAACCAUCAGAUCUUGUGAGACUUACAACCACAAGAACAAUAUGGAGUAAACUGCCCCAUGGUUCAGUUAUCUCCCAUCGGGUCCCUCCCGUGGGAUUAUGAGAGCUACAAUUCAAGAUGAGACUUGUUGGGUAGGGGACACAGCCAAACAUAACACCUGCCCUAUAUCAUUAUUUCCAUCUCUUCCCCAUCUUUUUAUUCCUCAGACCGGUAUAACCAGACCUCUUUUUUUUCCUUACUACUUGAAACUGCUCUUUUGAGGGUAGCUGAUAAGUCCAAAAUACCGUCACCUUUUCUUAAUUCCGUUUCUUCUUAUGCCUUCGAAGCCAUUGACUGCGUGGGUCGCUACCUCCUUUAAAGUGUCUCUCACUUGGUUUUGAUGACUAACGAUCAUGGUUUUCUUUUUCCUCUCUAAACAUUCCACUAUCUUUUUCACUUCCCUUCCCCAUCCCAUCCCCUAAAUGACCUUGUUUCCCGGAAUCUGCCCCCACCUCUUUGACUUCUCUAUGCCUUCUCAUCCACUCAUGGGUCUUGAUUACAUUAUUGCAUCUGUGUCAAUAACUCUGGUCUUUCUCUCAAGUUCCAGUCUCCUGUUUCCAAAUGUCCCUAAACAUUUCCAAUUGAAUAGCCCUCCAAUGUAUUUAACCUGCUGAAUAUCUAACACAUAAUCUUUCCCAUCAAAUCAGUUCCUCUUUAAGCUUUUCUUAUUUCUAAUUAGUGCUCCUGCCCUUCUCCCAGGAGCCCAGACUUCAAACCUUGAAUUUCUCACCACAACCUCUCUCUGGUCUCCCAUAAUCAAUUAGUAGCAAGUGUUAUCAAUAAUUCCUUGAUAAUAUCUUUUCAUAUUUCCCUCCCUGCUAUUAUCAUUUAUCCAACAAGAACAGUUGGCUCUUGGUAUCUGUGGCUUCUGUGUCCUUGAAUUCAACCAACUGUAGAUAGAAAAUAUUUGAAGAAAAAACAUCCAUACUGAAUAUGAACAAAUUUUUUACUUGUCUUUAUUUCCUAAACAAUACAGUAUAGUAACUACAGCAUUUACAUGUCAGUAUAUAGAUCUUAUAAUCUAGAAAUGAUUUAAAGUACACCAUUUUAUGCAAGGGACUUGAGCAGCUGUGAAGGGAUUUGUUCACGGGCAUCCUGGGACCGAUUCCCCGUGGUUAUGGAGGGACAACUGUGCUUUCUCAGUGCCUACUAAAUACUAAACAGUUGCUCAGUGUAUUUUUAUUUCUUCGUUUUUCUGUUUUCAGUUUGUCCCUUGCCAGUUAGUUCAACAGUGCUGUCAAUGCCAGGUAUAUCUUCAGAAUAUUCUAUUCUAAUUUUGUCAUCGCCAAGCUUAAAAAUGUUUAAUAUGCCAGGUGCGGUGGCUCACACUUGUAAUCCAGCAUUUUGGGAGGCCAAGGUGGGUGGAUCACUUGAGGUCAGGAGUUCCAGACCAGCCUGGCCAACAUGGCAAAACCCUGUCUCUACAAGAAAAGAAAAACCCACGAAAAUUAAGCAGUUGCAGUAGCAUUUGCCUGUGGUCCCCAGCUACUCAGGAGGCUGAGGCAGGAGAAUCGCUUGAACCCGGGAGGUGGAGUUUGUAGUGAGCCAAGGUCUCACCACUGCACUCCAGCCUAGGAGACAGCAAGAGUCUGUCUUAAAACAAAACAACAACGAAAAACAUUUAAUGGCUGCACCUUGCCUAUGCAAAAUACAUUUCUUGGCUAGAUGUGGUGGCUCAACCCUGUAAUCCCAACACUUUGGGAAGCUGAGGCCAGGAGUUUCAGAUAAGGUAGGCAAUAUAGGAAGACACAAUCUCUACCAAAAAACCCGCAAAAUUAGUCAAGCUUAGUGUGCAUGCCUGUAGUCACAGCUACUCCGGAGGCUGUGGCAGGAUCCCUCAAGCCCAGGAGUUCGAGGCUGCAGUGAGCUAUGAUGGCACAAACUACAUGCCAUCCUGGGUGACAGAACAAGGUCCUAUCUCUGUUGGGGGGAGGUAGAAAAGAAUGCAUUUUUUAGCAGAGUUCUCUGUAGAGUCCUAGGGUUCCAUGGAACUCCUUAAGAGCAUCAGAGUUUGUGAGUAUGAUGGGAGGAAGCAUUUUAGCCAGAGCAGUUGUGCUCCCAUUGCAUAAUAAUUUUUUUUUUUUUUUGGAAACAGUCUCGCUCUGUUGCCCAGGCUGGAGGGCAGUGAUGCAAUCUGAGCUCACUGCAAUCUCUGCCUCCUGGGUUUAAGUGAUUCUCCUGCCUCAGCCUCCCAAGUAGCUGGGAUUACAGGCACAUGCCGCCACACCUGGCUAAAGUUUUUUGUAUUUUGGUAGAGACGACGUAUCACCAUGUUGCCCAGGUUAGUCGUGAACUGCUGAGCUCAGGCAAUCCAACUGCCUCGGCCUCCCAAAAUGCUGGGAUUGAGGGUAUGAGCAACCGGACCCAGUCUGCAUCAGAAUGUUUAAAAAAUAAAAAGGUUUAAAACUACUACUUUAGCAUUGGCUAGACAUUUAAUGGCCUCUUUAAUCAAACCUUAAUUGACAUUUUAGCUAGAUAUGCUACCAGCCAACUACAGACAACCCACCUUAUAUAUAUUUUUAUUGUGCUUCAGGUUCUGGGGUACAUGUGCAGGUCAUGCAGGAUUGUUGCAUAGGUACAUACAUGGCAGUGUGGUUUGCUGCCUCCAUCUCCCCAUCACCUAUAUCUGGCGUUUCUCCCCAUGUUAUUCCUCCUCAACUUCCCUCCCCACACUGUCCCUUCCCUUCCCCCCCAUCACACACACAGACCCCAGUGUGUUAUGCUCCCCUUGCUGUGUCCCUGUGUUCUCAUUGUUCAACACUGGCCUGUGAGAACAUGCGGUGUUUGAUUUUCUCUUCUUGAGACAACACACUUUUUAACCAAAUUAGACUACUAGUUGUCAUCAGUGGACAUCAGAUUUGCCACCUUGCCGUGCCUUUGCUCACAUCAUUAUCUUUUUCUGUCUAAAUAAAGAUUUUCGCUUUGCUGUCAAAAAAAAAAACAACAACAGCAACAAAAUAAACCAUUUUCUGGAAUGUCCUGUACUCAUCGUCUUGAGUUGAAUUCUAUAUCCAACUUUAAAGACCUAGCUCGAAGCUCAGCACCUCCAUUCCAUUUCAAAAAGAGCUUUCCUUUUCCUAGAAGUCUAAGAACUCAUUUUCACGAAUCUUUUUGGCAUUUAUUGCACACGUGCUUGCUUUUCAUUAUUUGUGUUCAUAUCUCAUGUGCCCCCAAGGGUUUUAGACUCCUUAAAGGCAAAAAUGAUGCUCUAAACAUCUUUCUAUCUUUCGUAGUGUCUUAGUCUGUUUGUGUUGCUAUAAAGGUAUACCUGGGACUGGAGAAUUUAUUAGGAAAAGAGAUUUAUUUGACUCACAGUUCUGCAGGUUAUAUAAGAAGCAUUGUACCUGCAUCUGCUUCACGUGAGGGCUUUAGGAAGCUUCCACCCAUGGUAGCAGGCAUCACAUGUCAAGAGAGGAGGAAAAAGAGAAGGAAGAAAGGAAGGUGCCAUUCUCUCUCGACAAUAAGUUCUUGUGGGAACUGAUAGAGCAAGAGGUUGGGCAUGAUAAUUCAUGCCUGUAAUCCCAGCACUUUGGGAGGCCAAGGCAGGUGGAUCACAUGAAGUCAGGAGCCCAAGACCAGCCUGGCCAACAUGGUGAAACUCCAUUUCUAUGAAAAAUACAAAAUGAGCUGGGCCUGGUGAUGUGUACCAGUAGUCCCAGAUACGCAGGAGGCUGAGGCAGGAGAAUCACUUUAACCCAGGAGACGGAGGUUGCAGUGAGCUGAGACUGUGCCACUGCGCUCCAGCCAGGGCAACAGAGUGAGACCCUGUCUCAAAAAAUAAAAAUAAAUUAAAAAAAUAAUAGAGCAAGAAUGUACCAAGCUAUUCAUGAAGGAUCUGCCCCCAUGACUCAAACACCUCCCACCAGGCCCUACCUCCAACAUUAGGGAUCAGUUUUCACAUGAGAUUCAGAUAUCACAUAGUAAUGAACACAGUACCUUAUCCAUAGAAAGCAAUGGCUAGACAACUAUUGAAUGCCUAGCCAAAUCUGUUUUCCUAUAGUCUCACUCUGGAGGGAGUCACUAUAAGUUUCUGUCAAAAUGAGAAAAAAAAAUGUAUAGUCAGUCGUGUAUGUGUGUUCAUGUAAAAGAGAUCAAGAGAAAAGAAUGAGAUCAGGAAAAGGAGGGGGAAUACAAGAAUAAUACAUAGAAAAAAGCAAAUUAUCUAUUUAUUUGGCAGUAUCCAAGGAAGUAGAAAUGGUGAGUAACCCUUCUUCACUUUUUCUAUUGUUCACUUUUUUGCACCUUUAUUUUGAUGAAUUCACACCAAAGACAUUAAUUUAUUAAGGCUUCCAGUAUUCUGGAGUCAAGAAGGGCUGCUAUGCUCAUUAUACAAAUGGAAAACUUGGGUCAUCAACACCUCAAACAAGGACACAGCAAAGAAAUGGAGCAUAACCCGCCAGGUCCUGACUGUAGGAUUUGGAUUCCCAGUUGGUGCCUUUUCACCUUUUGUCACUCUUCCUAAAGUUAUGAUCCUUUCUUGCGCAUAGGAAAAUCAUAGUGAUUUCCCACCACCCUGAGGAUUGUCACAGCGCCUCUACACAUUCAAUAACAUCAACAGUAAGUGUUCUUCGAGCACUUACUGAGUGUAUAUCAUUGUGUUCAAACACAGCACCCACAGAUCCCACCAAGAACCCAGCUGAAACCUGUGGCAUGAAUAUGUAAGUACUGCCAUGCCAAUCUGGAGUACUCAAGAGAUGCAAAUAACUUCUUUAAUCAUACGUUUGCUGGCUUGUCUGUUUGUUCAUGGAAAAGUGGCUACAGCAUCCACGUUAUAUCUAUGUAAUAUUGGACUGAGAAGCAUCACUUGGCUUUUUCCAAGCAGAACCUAAAGCUGAUGACAAGCUGUUGCUGAGAAAUGGAUAUUUUUCUGAAUUUAGUUCUAUGUGGAAACAGAUGACCAGUUUCCAUUGCUGUAAGGUGGCUCUUUUGCUCUUGGUUGAUUCUGAGUAAUAGCUUUACUUAUGUAGAAAGCAGAUUUCAUUUGAAGUCCACUCAGAGAUUUGGUUCAGCAAACUGGAGUACGGGUUUCAGAAAAUAUCUUUUUAAUCUUCCAAUAAUAGAUAUCCUCAUCUAUAAUUCCUGGAACACUUCAUCCUUUGCAGCCAAGCAUGUAGAUAGUUUUGUUCACUGUGUUGUUUGCCACUUUCAUGUGCUUUUUCAACUUAGGUUACAAAUAGAACAGAAUCUCUCUGACUUUUCUCAUUAAUUGUUUGAAUUCCCACUUUUCCUCAUUAGCAAGAAGUCCAGUGUCUUCCUGAGAACUUCCUUUUCUCAAUCUAGGCACUUACUUGCUCCAUAAGGUAACGGUCUUAUUUCUAUCAAGGAGAGAAAUAACAGGAGCCACUAUCAUCUUCAUGCUGUCACUGUUGAAAAUUGGUCCUCUGUAGAGCUUCAGAUUCUUGCGUUAGUCCAUUAAGCUGCUAUAACAAAAUUCCAUAGACAGGGUGGCUUAUAAAUAACAGGAAUUUAUUUCUGACAGGUCUGAAGGCUGGUAGGUCAAAGAUUAAGACAUUGGCAGAUUUGGUGUCUGGUGAAUGCCCAUUUGCUCAUAGAUGGCUGAUGACCUUUCACUCUGUCUGCACAUGGCAGAAGGGGCAAGAGCCUUCCCUGGGUUUUUUUCAUAAGGGCACUAAUCUCAUUUUUGAGGACUCUGCCCCUAGGACUGAAUCACCUCCCAAAGGCACCAUUUCCCAAUACCAUCACCUUAAGGUUUAGGAUUUCAACAUAUGAUUCUAGGGGGACAUAAAUGCAGUCCACCUCAUUUGUUCACUCCAUUGUGUAUUCUUGCUGGAUCAGUUUCCUCCUCGGGCGGCAUUUGUGUUCCAUGUCUAGCUUGUAAGUUACAGCAGGCCUGAUAGCAAACUAUUGCAAUAUUGGUAUGGCAUGGGCAUUGAAUAAUCAAAAUGAACCCAAGUCAUAAACAACUGGUAAAGCUGCAGAGAGUACCAGCUGAUUAUGAGUCCUGGGAAACCCUUUUUAGUUCCUAUGUCCGUCAGCCCUUUUCUCCCACAGUAGCACCACUGCAUUGAAGUGGCUGAAUCUAUGGAAGCUUCCAGCUUGGGCCACAUGCUCACUGAACCGAUUCUCCUCUAGAGCUGUACACAAACUGGGUUGCCAUUCUGGAUACUCUCCUUAUUCAAGAAAUUUUAUUUCAAGGAUAUUUUUUGUUUUAUCAACUACAGGGUUCAUUUAGAAUCUUAGGGCAGUGGUCCCCAACAUUUUUGGCCCCAGGGACAGGUUUUGUGGAAGACAAUUUUUUCAUGGAUCAGUGACAGGGGGUGGGGGACAUGGUUUUGGGAUGAGUCAAGUACAUUACAUUUAUCGUGCACUUUAUUGCUAUUAUUAAUACAUUGUAAUGUACAAUGAAGUAAUUAUACAACUCAACAUAAUGUAGAAUCAGUGGGAGCGCUGAGUUUGUUUUACUGCAACUAGACAGUCCUAUCUGGGGAAAUGGGGGACAGUGAUAGAUCAUCAGGCAUUUGAUUCUUAUAAGGAGCAUACAACCUAGAUCCCUCAUGUGCCGCCACAACAGGAUUUGCGUGCCUAUGAGAAUCCAAUGCCACUGCUGUUCUGACAGGAGGCAGAGCUCAGGCAGUAAUGCAAGCGAUGGGAGCGGAGUGGCUGUCAAUACAGAUGAAGCUUUGCUUGCUAGCUGGCCACUCACCUCCUGCUGUGGGGCAGUUCCUCACAGGUCACAGACUGGUACUGGUCCAUGGCCAUGGAGUGGGGGACUCCUGUCUUAGGGAGCAGGGGUGGAGUUCCUUCACUUCUAGAAGGACCCCGGAUUAGUAUCCCAGGGCUGUCAUACAGAGGACCACAAACCAGGUAGCUAAAAACAGACAUGAAUUCUCUCACAUUUCUGAUGGCUGGAAGUCCAAAGUCAAAGUGCUGCCAGGGCCAUGCUCCCUCUGAAAUCCGUAGGAGAGAAUCCUUCCUUCCUCUUCGUAGCAUCUGGUGGUUUGCUGGCAACCACUGGCAUCCCUUGGCUUGCAGCGCUUCAACAUCUACCUUGUUUCAUAGUGGAUUCCCCUCAUGUCUCCAUGUCUCUGUGUCUCUCUCCUUUUUUUUUUUUUUGAGAAGGAGUCUCAUGUCAAUUUCAUGUGAGAAGGGGAUGAUAUUGACUUACGUCGUUUCUGUCUUCCACACUAAAAUAUCAGCCUGUUUCAUUCACUGCUGUAUCCCCAGAGCCCGGCAUGUAGUGGUAUCCAACAAAUACUUGUUGUGUGAAUAAAUUCUGUCUUUUAAUCCUAACUAUAGGUUUCUAAGUUAAAUAUUACUAUAAUCAUCUUACAGACGAGGGAAAUGAGGCUCAGGAAGAUUUGGUAACUUAUGUGGGAUCGCUCCGCUACAUGAUGGAAGGGACAGCAUUGAAGUGCAUGUGCUUGCUCUGUCUGCUAUUCCAAGCUGCUCAUCACACAGCUGCACCCCUGAGGACCUCCCUCCCAUUCUACCUCCACCCCUUCCGAGAGAUGCACAUGGCCACAAUCCACCAGCAGACCAAAAUUCGAUUUUUCCCCAGUUGGUUGCACUCACGCUGAGAGCAAAGCAAUUGCACUUUAAAUCCCCUUACAGCAGAUAUUUCAGAGCAUGUUCGAGAGAACCCAUCACACUUGGCUUUUAAAUCUCAUUUCUGGUUUUCUGCAAAAAGGCAAUUAAAUGAAAGGUUAGGCAGCUUUUAAAUGGCCAGUUCAAACUUUUGGCUUAUUUUUGCCUUGCUGUCUUUAUAGUCAUUUUACCAAUAUUUAUCACUAAUUCCCUUAGGGAGCCCUUAGAUCUGUGAUAUUUGAAAUAAUAAAGCCUUUCCGUUGGCCCUUUAAAAGCUUUGUGGUAAAACCACACCAUUAACAUUCACAGUUCCUCAUUUAUGAAGCCUGAUUGCACUUACUUCCAUAUUUCUCACUGUUUCUCCAAUGAGGAUUUCACAUAAUAGUGUUUGAAGGCUGAAGACUUCAAAGCAGACUCUUUACUAUUUUUAUCUUGAAAAAUAUUCAAUAUUUGUAUAAUUAAAGUGAAGUCUUCCUAGAGAAAAUGACAACUCAAAUAAUCUUAAAUGUACCUCCAAGAAAAAAGCUGUCAAAGUGACAUUUAGUUGUAGAGUCACAUUCUCUAAGGCCUUUGCUUCUCCUUCUGAGUUCUUACAAUCUUUGAAGGUUAUGUCAUGGCUGACUUCAAAUCACUUUUAAAAUUAUUAUGGCCUUCUUUAAAUGUGAGUUCUGAAGGUGAGGGGCUUUAGCUUCCUUUUGCUCCAGAUUUUGUCUACUGCGUCGUUACCAAGCAUCUUAAAAGCCAAAAACAAAAAUCUUCCUUGACCUGGUUUUUCCCACUAGCGAACAUCCUAUUUUUAUCUUUCCCUUUGCGCUAAAGGUUUUUGAACAGAUCUUUGUACCCUCUAUCUCCAUUUUCUCAUCUGCUAACUUAUAUGGCGAAGAUUACCACUGCCUUUCAACAUAAUUGGCCAAUCUACAGAAAGUUUUCAAGCUUUCUUUUUAAUUGACUGCCUCCUGCCUACCUCCCACCUUUGACAUCUUGCUUCUAACUUGUCACCUUAUUGGUGUCCAAGAUUCACUCAUUUAGGAUGUCUUCAGAGCAGCUAGACAGUUGAUAUAAUUUAUGCAUCAUUGUGCAUGGGCUUUCUGGGAUAUUGAUGGAGAGGAGGAGGAAACUGGAAGUAGUUCAGGCCAGGGCUAGGGAAACUGACCCAUCUCCAGGUCUCAGGUCUGUGAGGGAUGCUCACAGCUUAACACAUGGAGUCUAGAAAGACCUAGAAACUUGUGCUGGACCUUGAACAAUACCAGCCCAUGGAGUCCAAUACAGUGCUCAAUAGGAAUUUCCAGGAAAAGUCUUUAUUCAUUCAAAGAGGAUUUACCAAGUGUCAACUAUGUGUUGAGCACUGUGCUAGGCACAGGGUCCAUGAGGAUAUGUGAGACACUGUAGCUUUCCUUAAGUUGCUCACUAGGUAAAUAGAGAGACAGAAAGGCAAAUGGGCAAGUGCAAAAAUGCAUACAAUUCAGCAAUAGUGUUCAUAGUGGCUAUGGAGAACGCUCACUAACUUUGUUUAAACAGUUGUUCUUCCAAGGAUUUGAUAUGGAUUUGAUUGGAAAAGCAUGAUAUUGUUUUUGGCAAUUAAACACAUGAAUAUAUAAAUAAAAUGCUAUAGUAUUUUUUACUAAGAGCUACUAGAAAACCUGGGAAUUCUUAAAACCUUACCAUGCUACUUCCUCUAAAAUAUUUUAUUUUAUGUUAUUUUGUAAAUUUCCUUACCCACACAAACACCAGUUUUCUUCAUUUCUUAGUCUAUUUAAACCUCACACCCUCUCACCAUCUCUUAAUUAUUUACUACCAUCUGUUACUUCUCCUGUCCAGAAUGAAACAAAAAUGGCAGAAUGUGAAAUGAUGGAGAGCAGAUUUUUGACAGGAAAUGUUCAGAAGUAGAAGGAAAUAGUCAAGACAUAUAUGAUAAAUAAAAUGAUAACUUUAUACUGUAACAACUUAUAGACACACAUUUAAAAAAAUUGAAGACCUCAAGACAUACGUCUGAAUAGAAAAAAAUUAAAACUGUAAUAAGCAAUUAGGAAAAUAAGAAUAGUGAAUUUUUUAAUAUAUGGGAUGUAGUCAAAGCUGUACUUAUUGUUGAAUUCAUAAUCUUGAAUGUUUUUAUUAUUUAAAGAGAAUACAUGGGCUUUAAAUUUAUCUGCUAUUUGAUAGACUUUGAUGGAGCCAAAUCCCAAUGCUGCCACUUACUGAAUGGCCUUAAAUGACUUAGCCUCUCCUAGCCUCUCUUUCUGCAUACGAAAGAUGGAAUAAUGAUGGCUUCAAGGAGGAAUAAACCUAUGAAAACUGUUGAGGAUAGUGUCUGAUAUGAAAUAAGGAUUCAACAAGUAGUAGCUGCUAUUGAAAAUUUAAGUUAUUUAUUACAACUAUUUCAUAAGAUUUUUAAACUAAUACACUUAAAUUAUUCAAGAGUUUUGAAAUGGGCUGGGCACAGUGGCUCAUGCCUAGAAUCCCAACACUUUGGGAGGCUGAGGCGGGUGGAUCACCUGAGGUCAGGAGUUUGAGACCAGCCAGGCUAACACGAUGAAACCCCGUCUCUACUAAAAAUACAAAAAAUUAGCCGGGUAUGGUGGCAUGCACCUGCAGUCCCAACUACUUAGGAGGUUGAGGCAGGAGAAUUGCUUGAACCUGGGAAGUGGAGGUUGCAGUGACCUGAGAUGGUGCCACUGCACUCCAGCCUGGAGACAGAGCAAAACUCCAUCACACACACACACACACACACACACACACACACAAACAGUCUUUGAAAUUGUCUUAAUGGGCUGUACUCUUCAUUUAAGAAAUUCAUCUUUGUUCACUUAUUUUUACUUGACAUGAAAGUUUCCGGCAAUUUUUAAUUAAGCCCUCACGGAUUUUAUGUCAUUGGCUAUGUGAUAACCAAAUUAUUUGCUAAAAUAAUAUUCUUGCUUCUUUUUUUAGGAAUUGUCUCCCUAGAAGCAGUCUGUACAGAAAAAUACACCGAAUUUGUACACAAAAUCAGAUCUGAUUGGCAACAGUUGCAGAUGUUUUCAAAAGAUUUUCAUUUGAGAAGGGGCCCAUUUGGGUUAUUUAGAUUCUAAGAACUGAAACUGCUUUGUUAGUUCUGUUUUUCUGACUUCUGGGAGAGGAGGAGACAUGAAUUCAAUUAGCACCUUGGUAUUUUCUUUAUCCUUCAUUUCAAUACAGGAGAUGCUUCAUAUGCACAGGGGUGUCAGUUCACAUCAAAAGAAAGAGAAACAGCUUCUUGGUUUUUAAUUUUCAACCAAAAAGGAAAGGCACCAGUUUUGUUCUGCUCUAAUUAGCCAGUGCAUGACUUAGAGAGCAGGCAGAUGCUUUGAAGGUGUUGUAACACAGGCCUUCAUUAAUCUCCACACUGGCCUUUCACUUCUACUAUGCCUAGGCUGAAGGAAAUGGCUCAGAAAACAACAGUCUCGCAGAGCCCUAACUGACUCAAGCCAGGUGUUAUAAAGAACAAGUCAAGAGGGUGAGAAACUAACCUUGAAACCUCCCACUCCUUUCUACAUCAGAAGAGCAAAGUUGAUUAUUUUGGUUGGAAUUUAGAAAUUAAAAAAAAUUAUUCUAAAGUCAUGAACAAGCUUAAUUAUAAAGACAGUUGCUGUGAAGAUGCUGAGAUAACUGGAUUUUACCAACCUCUUCUUCUGGAGGAAGCCAGAAUGGAAGCCUGUAGAACAUUCACUCUACCAAUAAACGCUUGUUUUUCUAAUGAGGAAACGGAGGCCCACAGUAGUAAACUAUCUUAACCAGGAUGAAAUGACUAGGGCUCUGGUCCUUUUAUUAAGGACUAAAAUUUUGAUCCAAUAAUAAAUCCGUCGGUAAAACGAGUUUCCCUAAUGUACUGGUUCUAACUUGUUCCCUUCAAGGGGCCAGUGUCCCAUACAUGUAGCUAAAUGGGAUUUCUCAUUUACCCAGAGGACAGAGCCUAAAAUGUUCUGCUGUUCACCUCUCAGCAACAGUGGUGCAUCUGAGCUUUUGCAAGUCCACCUAGAGCCUCUAUCUGCUCAGAUGUUAAACCCAUCUAAUUCAGUGAACACUUUGUUCUAGUUAACUGAGCAUCUACUUUGUAUAAGGCACUACAGCAGUUCAGAGAUGAAUAAAAUCAUGAGAUUCCACUGUCUCCUAUAAACCAUCACUUUGGGAAAUUUUAGAAAUGUGGGUAAGCUCUAGGGCUUCCUGAAGCGUAGAAGUCACAAACUCAAAUGCCUGCAGAGGCUCAGCUGACAACAUAAGUGAGUGAUUCUAGCUGGGUGGAAAACAAUUAUGGGUGAGUGGGUUUCCAGCUGGGGAGUGCAUGCCUGCAUUAAAGGACAGCUGCUACUCAUUUCCAGCCAACUGUGUUUCUGUGUAGAACUGCGGCCCAGCGUAGCCAGUACUGAAGAUUUCUCAGAAAAAGCCAGGAAUCUCGGUUAGUGUAAAAUCUCUCAAAUUUCCAAGAGGAUUGUAUGGGGCAAAGGUUCUCAGAGCAGUUUGCAGUCUCUGCCCAUGCGCAGAGCAGUCAAAGAGAGUAGUGUGCAGUGCCCUACAUAAUUCUUUUUUAUUUUCUUUUAUGCCUUCCUCCUUCCUGUCUCUCUUUAACCUUUCUUCUUCCCUCAGGCUGGCUUCUUUCCUCUGCCUCCUCCGACUCCAGCCUGGGUUCAAUGAACAUUCAGUCAAGGAACAUGGAAUGUCAAUUGCAGGGAAAUGCUACCUGCUCUCUGCAUGGGAUCUGGAUGGAACUGUUUAUCACAGUGUUUUCACUCCCCAUUUUGCCUCACCAAGAGGUAAGCAGAAGACCCAAGCCAGGCCAGUUAGACAGAAUCUUCAGAUGACUAAGGUGUUGAUCACAGUAUCACCCCACUCAAGGCUUAGUUGGAGAUGAGCAGAAGAUGACUAAGGCUGGAUCAUUUUAAUUAACACCUGUACCUCAAAGAAAGACUGUCAAUGAGGCCUUUAUACUGACACUCCUGGUUUUCAUUCUUCCUAACACCAUUCAUUCGAGAAACUACCCAAUCUUUCCAAUGGUGUCUUUGGAAGACAGAAAAGAAGAUAGAGUUGUUUUCUGUUCUUUGCAACCAAGGAACUCUGAAUGACAGAGUUGUUGCUAGGCCUUUUGGUUAUUUUUAAUAUCUUGAAUACUUCUGUGAUAUAUAUCUUUGUGUGUGCCUGUUUAUAUGGAUGUAGCUUUUUAUAUAUUUUAUAUAAUUUCUCAGAAGUGGAAUUACUUAGUCAAAAGGUAUGAACAUUUUCUGAUUCUUAAUAUAAAUUGUGCAAAUGCUUUUUAAGAGGAUUAUACCAAUUUACAUUUUGUAUUGUAUAUAUAACAAAAAGUACUACUGAAAAAAAUUAUAAAAAAUUGUCUCUCCAUUGAGGAGAACCUUGUAAUAGAUGACAGAGUACUUGAAAUAGGAACAUAGAAUGUUUUCAGUUUAAAAUAAUUUCACUGGGUUAUUUACAGAAUCCUUACUGUUAUGGCCAAACAGACAUUUAUAGGAUGAUCUGUACCAAAUCUAUGUUGGUUAAAUAAAUUGCUUAUUCAACUGGCUUAAAUCUGUGAUAGAAAGAUGACAUUUACUGAAUGUUUAAUAUACACUUUGCCAGGGGCUUUUUAUUAUUCUAUGAAAUCCUCAAAAUGACCCUCCUAUUUUUCCUAUUUUAUGUGUAACGACAGGAGGACUUCGAGAACAUGACUAACUUUCCCAAGGGCUGUACCAGAGCCAGAACCAAAAUCUACUAGGCUUUUAAGCCUACAUUCUAAAACUGCAUCUCAACCUCCUAUUCUUACAGAACUUAAAGUUAGAAAACCAGAUUGGAGGCCCGAUUUCACCACUUAGUAACCAGACACACUUGGGGAAUUCACUCAAGCUCUUUGAAUCUUCAUUUCCGAAUAUUUAAAACUAAGACAAUAAUACUUGUUCUACCUACAUCAUAAGAUUUUGUGAGGCACAUAGAGAUAGUGUGAAAGAGUGCUAUACAGAUCAGAUGUUAGUGUGAUUCCUUAAAUCCCUGAACACCAUAGAUAAAUGUCUCUGACUGCUAUUAGAAGUUAUAAAGACUAUUGGGGCCAGGUACAAUGGCUUAUUCCUGUCUUGCCAGCACUUUAGGAGCCUGAGGCAGGAGGAUCACUCGAGGCCAGGAGAUCAAGACUAGCCUGGGCAACAGAGUGAAACCCCUUCUCUAUAAAAAAUAAAGAUAGAAAAGCUAGGUGUGGUGGCACACACCUGUAGUCCCAGAUACUCAGGAGGGUGAGGUGGGAGGAUCACUCUACCCCAGGAGUUUGAAGUUGCAAUGAGCUGUGAUUGCACCACUUGUACUUUAGCUUGGGCAGCAGAGUGAGACCCCAUCACUAAAAACAUAGAAAACAAUAAUAAUAAAGAAUACUGGGACCUUGGGAUACCCACUCCUCUCUUUCUGCACUGAGUUGUGAAACAGCUGAGAUAUAUACACACAUCCAAUGGAUGAGGUUGAAGAUAUCAACUGGAUUGGAAAUUUGUGGCUUACAUGUGUGGCCACAAUGAGCUUUCUAACACUUCCUGACUAGGUGAGGAGACAAGUUUCCUCACCCAGUCAUGGGCAGAGCUGGAUACUCUGUGUUUCUCCCCCACAGAACAACCUCUUAGUGCAGGUAGGUGGACGAAAAAGUCAGCCGAGAACAGGCUACUCCAAAAAGCAGAGCAGCAAAGGCACCAGCUGGUCAGGUCCCCUUUCCUAAGUAAACAAUCACAUAAUUCAUUUGGGACAAAGCCAGUGAGAUGGUGUGGAGAAAGAGAGGGAAGUUUCCUCCCAAGUUUUUCCUGGAAUUCUUUAUGGGAAUAUGAGGUUUGGGGGAAUAAGGCUUCUCUUUAACAGUGAAGAAUCACCAGCGCUAUUAGUAAUAGGAAAUAGCUUACAAAGAUCAUGGGGACUUUUUCCUCAGCUCGUUCUGCCUCCUACUUGGCUGAGUGGAAGGGAAGGAACCAUCUGUGGCUGCUGCAUAUGAUGUUGUCAACUUUGUCAUUCCACACCCACUCCUUGACGCCCCACCAUGUGGUCAUAAGACUCCCUUUAAAGUGUUCCUUUAAAAAACAAAAUGUGUUUUGUUUCUCUAAACUACAGCUCAGUGUCAGAACCCUUGUAUUGUUUGGUGUUGAUGUAACCCUUUCACAAUGUUUGGGCAACUUAUUCUGUUUCCCUGUGGGGUCCCAGCCGGGCCAAAGUGAGUGCCAGCCUCAUUUGGGCAGCAGAUGCCCUGUGGAAGGGCAGAAGGAGACAAGAGCUAAUUGUAACUUUGUGAUUAGCUGUCAUGGAUGCCUGGUCCUGUCAAUAGCGCUCAAUAAAGCCAGAAGGCUAAACGUUCCCUUCUGCAUACUGAUUGCUGAGUCAGAUUUCUCAGUGCAGAAGGGCUUUCUAGGCAGUCAAUUUUAGAAUAUUAGUCUUGGUUCUUAAGUGGUUAAAAUCCCUAGCUGGUCUUUAAUCUGAGCCUGGAGAAUUUACUUAUGGCUGACAUUCUGCUGCGAUAUUUUUACCCUCAAUAUAUAUGUCUUUCCCUCAUCUCUUAGAUCCCUGAAUCAUAGAGAUAUAUAUGUUUUAUGUAAUCAACUGUCUCCAGUCUCCAAGAGUGAUGGGUACAUAUUGUGUCAGGCUGAGAGGACAGGAGAACUUUCAAAUGCCUUUCUUCCUACCCCUUUUUCCUUCUCACUGUCUCCCACAAGGUCCUGCCACUUAUUCUUUGACUUAUCUUGACCACUGAGGUCUUUUGGGGCUACCCUGGUUCUGAUUCUUCUGAAGGUUUGUUGCUUAACUCUGUCUUCAGUCCUUUGAGCUGCCUUUUCCAUAAGUUCCUCUUUUGGCUAAAGUUGGCAAAUCUCCUUAUAACCAAAGAACAAAUAAAACACUAGCUUGCAAUGUUCUUUGUUGCUUCCGCCAAGCUUAUGCAGCACUUCCUAUCUAAUCCACCCAGCGGAUAGGUGAAUUUAGUAUUUGCUUCCUUCUAUUGGGUCAUUGUUUAUGUGCAUGUCUUGUUUCCUCAUAUAAAAUGUGAUCUUCUUAAGGGUGUUGGUCCAUGUUCUAACCAUCCGUAGAUAACACAGCACCUAGCAAUAUCUUUCAUAAAGGAAGUACACAGCUGGCAUUUAUUGAUUCAUUGCUCUAUUGUUUCUUUCUUUAUCCCCAGCAUUUCCCAAUAAUUUCAAACAUCUCCAUGGGAGUGCCAGAGAAAGCAGAUAGCUUUACUUACGCUACGUUUCUAUGCCCAUGGUAGCUAAAACAGAACCCAGAGUGACAUGUUUAAAUGCUCUCCUGUUAUCAGGACCUCAGCCUUCUGAUGCUCCAUGGCUUGGGGGCUACUGUUGAUUGUCUCCUCCCCAACCUACACUGUGUACCUAUGCUAGGCUCUUAAUGAGGACUAAGCCCCAUAGUAAAAGGGCCAGAUAAACAGAAAAUCAUUUUAUGUAAUUAUAGAAGUGAGAAUACUGAGUAUUCUGGUGUUCACAUAGGAUAAGCACAUCUUUAUUUGUAUGAGAAAAAUAAAAAGAGAGUGAAAAAUAGAUUACUUUGUAUGUUAUUUAGAACCCUUGGAUUGCAAGUGACAGAAACUCAAUUUGAACAAACCUAAGUCAAAAGCAAAAUAUAUUGUCUCAUGUAACUUUCUCUCAGAGAGUCAGGGUGGAAGGGGCUUUGGGAACAAGGGAAUGAGAUCUAGGAUUAGUUCAGUAUGGGUCACCUUCCUGUCCCUGAGGUGGUAGUAGCGAUGGUAGAGUCUUAUCAGAUGAAGGAGUGCAUGUUACGAUGAUGGUAGGGCUAAGCAAACAAGUGCAAGGGCCACUAUAUCAUGCUAUAAAUGGUUUUCUUUGAUAUCUUUAAUUUCACAAACGCUUCCAACAAAGUAGCACACAGAAAAAAGAACCCAGGGACUCUACUAGCGGGUGCUUGUAUCUUAAGACUUGUACUUACUUUUCACAGCUUACUCACUGCUUGUACCUGAGGCCAUAGAUGCCCUGUAACAGCUUCUACAGGGUUUCUCCUAAGCUAGCUUCCUUACGUUGUUCUCUCGCUUUUCUGAUCUUCCUCUUUUCCUCACCUCUGGGACUGGUGGCUGUUUGCAUGGACUGCCUUAGCUUUGCUUUUGUUUUUAUCCUGGGGACAAUGUCUUCAGAUUAUCCUAGACCAAAUAAAUUACAGCCCCUGGGCCAGGCUCUCCCUCCUCUAAUGGACCAUCUUCCCAGGGCUCUUCACCUUAGUUUAGGUCAAGCACUCUUGGAAAGGCCUAGUUAACAUAGACAUUCUAGCAAUUGAUUUUUUUGACAUGUUGUAAAAUCUACUCACAUUUUGUAAUUAAAGCAUUCCCCUAUGGAAACCAACACCAGCCAAGCUGCUCCUGGAAUGUAGGGUGGCCUCCUAAAUUUGGGAUGUUCUGGAGAGCUGUAUUUUGGGCAUUUAACGUAUUCUCCACUACUUAGGGCACAGCACUGAAAUUAACACCACUAAGUUUGUCAUGUCCGUGGAGUUAAUCUCAGGCAGUGCAGCCUCAGGAGUGGAACUGAUCUCUUGCGUGUGCCCAGCCUUUCUUCCUUCAGAAGUCAGCUGUGUUUUCUGCUGACUCUCCACAGGAACAUCAGUCCUGGAUCCUUAAACCACCACCUGGAGUAGUAAUGCUCUCGACAGUCCUAGAAGGCGUCUACUGCUGGAUCUCCUAAGCAUGUGACACAUUGUGAGAGAGAAAUGAGAAAGCUGAGCUCUUCAGAUAAAGCUUACUUUUUUACAAGCCCCCUAAUUAUACUGCAUAAUUAGUUUGAAUUCACUGAUAAUUGUACAAUUUUCCCGUAAGUCAUCUACACACAAUUCCCUCUCAUGCAACACUUGGCUUUGCUAAUACAUAUCUAUUAUGAGAGCUGUGCUUCUUAAGCGUAAAUGUUUUAUAUGCACUAAGGCUCUUGGCUUACAUAUAAACGGGCUAUUGAGCAAUGUGGUACCGAAGUCUUUUCUCCACAGCUCUCAAAUGUAAAGAAUUCAUUAGAUUGGCUGAAAUAGACUGAUCUGUCAAUUUCUCUGCUCACUUAAAAUGAGGAAGUCAUUAGCUAAGGAACAAAAAAUACAAUCUAUGUAAUUAAAAGAACAAGCUGGUUUUGCUCAGUAUAAAAAUAAGAAAAAGAAACCGUGUGAAAGUUAAAGUAUUUAUUUAAUCAGUUCAUUGAGGUUCUAUUAAAAAGCAUUGGAAUUCUUUGUGUGAACUAUCUUGACUCAAGUGGGCAGUGGUGAGCUCUUUGACCUUCAGUCCCUAUGUAGAAAGAGGGUUUUGCCGUAAAGUCUUACAUGGCACACGUGCCAAGUUAAGUGCCAAGGCUUACUCGUAAAAGCAUGCUGGAUUCUGUUUUAGUCUUUCAGUGAACUGAAGGGAAUAAACAAAUCCCUCUUGGAGAACUUCUGCUCUAUCCCUGGUAAAGUCUUUCUGCCAGAAUUCUAUCUGGUAGUUACCUUUUCCAAUUCAUUGAAUGUUGUCCCAGGGCCCAACAUGGGUAAUUUUUCUCUCAUUUGUGAUUAGUUCCACUACAGGGGAUUAAAUAUUCAACUUCUUGCCUUCUGGGAUAUACUCAGCCUUUAUCACAAAGCUCUUCCAGGGAAGGAACUUAGAUUCUUUGAAGAACUUCCCUGCCCUUUCCCAAACAGAUUCAGUUGUUAAUUCUGUCCACCUUGCUCCAUCUUCAGUGAAGGUUAAAAAGCAUCUGUGGCAAGUCUUUCCUUAUAAAGGCUCAUUAAUGCUUGAUAACUGUGAGGACCUGAUAUAAGUCAUGCGUUUUCAGAAAAAAUACACACAUACACACACUCACAACAAUACUGCAACGCAGCUAUGAUGGCAGCUGUUUCCCUAAAACUUUGUAUUCGGCAUCCUCUCUAGACAGUGAAUGCAAAAGACUUAGGUUGGAAAAGUGCAUUAGGUUUUGAUUAAUGAUUGGAUGAAGGCCAGUUAAAUUUUUAAAUCUGAAUGAGAUUGCUGACUCAGGAGCCUUAGUAGCAUAAUGGACAGACAGUCCUCAAAGCUUUCAUUAAAAGGAUUUCUGGUAACUGAUGUCUAGAGAAAUGAGUUGAAAUACAAUUCACUGCACCACUCAGCUUUCAUCUAAAACAGAAUAUGUAAUCUCAAAGAACUCAACUGGUCUCUUGAAAAAUUCAGGUAAAAUUCAAUUUAAAGAAGCUAGAGCUUAAACAUUUUGAGGAAAGGAAGGCUCCAGGAGCUUUGUGACUAUAUCACUUUAUCCUUUUGAAUGCCAUAUUUAAUUAUGUUUAUUGCAUUUUAAGUGCAGCUGGAGUCACUGAUCUGCUGAUAAAGUCUGGAAUGGUUUGUGGGAGGUGCUCAGGAUGUAUCAGAGACUGAUUUGAUUUGCAUUUUAUUUUUAACUUUGGUUCCUCUCUGAACUCCACCUUCUCACGUUUGGGUUUUUGUUGCUUAAUACCAGUCAUGUGACACCUAAUGAGAGGGAUAUGUUCUGAGAAAUGCAUUAUUAGGCGAUUUUGCCAUUGUGCAAACAUCACAGUGUACAUACACUAUCACAGAUGGCAUAGGGUACUACACACCUGGGCUAUACGGUAGAGCCUAUUGCUUCCAGACUACAAACCUGUAUAGCAUGUUACUGUAUUAACUACUGCAGGCGAUUGUAACACUGGUAUUUGUUUAUCUAAACCUAUCUACACAUAGAAAAGGUACAAUAAAAAUACAGUGUUAUAAUCUUAUGGGACCACUGCUGUAUAUGCAGUCUGUCAUUGACUGAAACAUUAUGCAGUGCAUGACUAUAAUAAGAACAAACUGUGCCUUUGCAGAAAUCUCCCCAGAAAGCCUCUGAAACUACCUUGAUCUUAGAAGCAGUUUUAGAAAUCACGGCCAAUGAAACUCAGCCAUUGGGGCGUGCCUGAGAUGUGUUUGCUCUCCUUUUGCCGUGACCCUAGAGGUAAAGGUGCUCUUUCUUCUGUUUCUCGUGUAAGAAUGUAAAUGUUAUAUUUUAGCUUCUUUUCCCAGUCCAGUAAUGUUGCGUUAAAUUUACAAGAUUGUAGCAGUGCCUCCAAAAGGGGACAGUAACAAUAGUUACUUUGAAAAUGGGUGAGUUCUUUGUAGCCCUCUCUGAGUUGAACAUUCUCGCGUAGGCAGUCUUCCCAGUUAGGCUGUGAGACUCUUGAAGGCAGCAAGUGUAUCUUUCACUCUUCCCUGAUCUCCUCAGCCAAUCCUCUGCUCCACAAUUCCAAAAAUCAGUUACCAAGCCAUUGUAAUUCUUUUUCUGAAAUGUGUACUAGACUCCUUUUAGGGUAUUUGCCCAGUUCACGAAGACCCCUGCCCUCCUUGGAAAUCUGUCCUUGCAGGCAUCUGUGUUCUAUAUGACUCUUAAUAAGACAAUAGCUGAUUAGAACAGUGAUAGACAGUUGCCACAAGCUGGACCAAUCGGAUUGAUAUUCUCUCUCUCUCUCUUCUGUUCUCUGAAAUCUCAAAUUGAGAUUCAGAAACAGCUCUGUAGUCUCUAUUUGUGGGUAGAACUGUAACAUAUGAACUCAGAGCUAUAAGGAUGCAAUAUUCUAUCAAGCAGAGAGAGAAGCAGAGGAAGCCAGUCUGCACAGAUGGAAUGCAGUAGCGCACAGAAAGAAGCAGACACUCGGAGAUGUCUGACACCUUUCUGGUUACAUUCCAGUCAGUUCAGAGGCCCAGACGCAUUCCUGUCUGGAAGCAUUGUGAUCCUUUUUUGUAAAUCAAUAAUAAAUCCCUUGCCAUCCUCUUUGCC